rnacentral:lncRNA from 1 species
UUAUUAAAACUUUUGUGGUAGUUAGAAUACUCAAUGUAUAACAACAUAUAUAAAUUUUGGAAUUUACUGUUGGGUAAUUAAUUCUAAAUAAUUUAUUCAACAUAGUUAUAUUCAGAUAUCCAGUAUAAUUUUACUGCUACCUUUCUGUUUGCGUGGCUAUCAUAGAAAAAUCAUAGAAGACUCUUACUCAACAUAUCUUGAUGAAUUUACUUGUUUUAGAAAAUAGAUAUUAUGAACUAUAAUUUCUAUGUUUAUAAAUACUUUAAAUUAUAAGGCUAAUAUGGUGAAAAAUGGUCAGGAAGUCUGACGUAGAUUGUUUUGGGAUUUCUUUCUGAAAUCUGGUAGGAUUGAGUAAAACAAUUGUUUAAUUAUUUUCUAUAUAUCGAAACGAUUCCAUAUUUUUAUUCCAAGUAAUAUUUUCAUAGUAAAAGGUUGUAUUAAAAAUUUAUGAGAUUUGAGUAAUUAUUUUUAGAUGAGUGAAUUUUGGAAGAUGAAUGUUAUUGUUUGGCAGAUUUAUGUAAAGAGUUUCUUUUUAGCAUAUAUGUUUUCUUUUGGGUUUGUCCUUUUGUUUGAUUGUCAAGUUGAAAUAGUCAUGUACUAAAAGUAUUCGUAAUAUUGAAGUGGAUUAGUAUAUAAUGAUAUGUGAUUUGAUUAAUUAUGUUUAAAGUAACCUGGAAAGUUAUAUUGAUGAACGCCUAGAAAUGGCUCCAUACCAAUGGAUGGUAUAUGAAUAGAAAUGAAAUGAAUACUGAACUUUGGAUUUAAUUAUGGAAUGAUUUGGAAUGCUUUGAUACCAUGGACGAUAUAUAUUCAAUUUGGGAAAUAAGAACGGAAUACGAAAUGGACUUGGAAUUUAAUUGUUUGACAAGGGUUGUGUGAUUGCUUGAUUAGUUUAGUUGUUUUGGUAGUCGCCCAAGCAUUAGUACAUUUGUCGCACCUCUGGACUUAGGUUAAAGAAAUUAAUUAUCACCCUAGACGGCUUAGCCUGCGGGUUGACUCUUUGAUUAUAUUUGGGUAUUUCCUAGACGGCUUAGCCUGCGGAACUGACCCUUCAGACCUUCAUAGCCUUCGGGGUUGGUCUGGGCGCCACAUUAGAAAACUCAAGGGAGCUAUUAGAGAUCAUGAGUUAGGCAUACGUCGAGGUUAGCCAAAACUUGCAGGUGAGCACCCACUUGGGUUUUGGUUUCCGCGUAGAGGUUCUUAACCAUGGUCAAGGCACACUGGUGCAGUGUGGGUAUGGCAAAUGUGUGGAGUGCAUCCUGUGGGAGGUGUACUAGUGAUUGGGCAUAGGUUGUGAUUUUAUGAUUGUUAAACCCGAGCACCGGCUAGAGGCCAGGACGUGGUUUUGUGGUGUUGGAUUCGUUCUUUGGUAUUGUGCUAAGGCUUAUGGUAUUGUAGUGUUUGGUGUUAAUGAAUGAUAUGGGUAAAUUCUAUUUACCUUGAUUAUGAACCGGAGGUAACUAUGAUUAUGUGGAAGAACUGCAAUGUUUUAUUUAUUAUAGUAACUAAUAGUCAUAAUUGGACUUGUCAUUUUGGGUAGAUUGCCAACUAUGAAGACUUGGAAUGAGUCAUUAUGAAUGGUUUGAAUUAAGGGAAUGUAUUUUCAAAUUGAUACAAAGUAUUAGAUAACACGUAACAUGUAUGUGAUUUGGUUUAUCUUUAUUAUAUUUGUCUAUUAUGUAUUAACUCUAUUUUGUAAGUGGAUAGGUCAACUAAUUUAUUUUGUGCAGGUGGAUAGACCUAUCCUUAAAGACAGUUGUUGCUUAGGUAAUGUAUUUGUAUUAUCGAUCAAUUAACAUCGUAAAUAGAUAAAUUAAAAUUGAAUAAUAGAAUUAAACAUGUGAUUAUAUAAUGGAUAAAGAGUUUAAAUAUAGUGGAAUUGGUAUGGUUUUGGCGCAUGCUUAUUGUUUUAGCAUGGAAGAAUUGUUCUUGAAGGUUAAUUAUGUUGGUAAUCAUAUGUUGGAACUUUAUAUUUAUUAUGUUAUUUUGUGGGAAUAUAUUUUCCCCUUGUUUACUCAUAUCGGCCUUUAUGCUGACCCAUGUUGCUUUGUUUUGCACGUGGGUGUGUUCCAUUUGGAAUGCAGGCAAGAGAGGUUAGAGCUAUGGAGCUAUGACAGACCGCUUGUUGGGACCAGUAGAGAUCUUUAGAUGUUUUAUUCAUGUAUUUUGUUGGCGAAAGUUAUGUAUUAUAAUUGAAUGUAAUCAGGUGUACUUUUAUCGUUUGGAUUUUUCUUCACUGUAUUUUAUUUUUGUUGGAUCUAGUUUUUGAGUUAGAAAUUGUUGCGGCCUGGGUUUAUUUUAUUUUUUUAAAUUCGGGUCGUGACAGUGACUACUUGAUUAUUAUAUGUAUUGAUGAUUAAUUGGAAUAACUAAGAGGUGACUAAUUAAUUGUUAUACAUUGAACAUGAAAGAAUAACAUGUUAUGUUUGCACGAUUUAGUUUGUGGAUACCAAUUCUUCCCCUUAUGUCAUCAUAAGAUCUUCUUUUCAUCUCUACCAUAUUCUUAAGUUAGGUUAUUUACAGUUUAUUAUUAUUGCCUCUAGGAAGUAGAAUCAAUCUCAAUCUUAAUUGUUGAUUCCCUUGGUGUUCAUUAAUUAUUGUUUUCUAUUGUGUUUGAGCUAAGAUCUUCACCUUUGAGGUGGGUACGACCAUUGCUUGUUACUUGUCUACUUUGAUAAUCAAUAUAUAUAGGCACAAGAAGAAACUUCAAAUAAAAAUACAAUCUUUUGAAUAGAGGAUACACUUUUUCUUUAUAUCAAAAUGGCGUCGUUGCCACUCUAAGGAACGGAGUUCAUUCAAACACAAGCGAGAAUAGUAGUUUCGGGACAUCAUCCCACUUCUAUCCCUCGCACCCUUAUAUUUUAAUUUCUUUAAUUUAUUGUUUUUAAGUGUCUUGUAGAGUCCUCUUAUUGAUCUUGCAGUGAAGACGGAUUAAAAAAGCUCAAGAAACGAAACCAAAAUCAAAAUUUGAAGAAGAUCACAUAUUUAGGAUUCUUGAAAGUUACUGGUUCAAUCUGGUACCGAUCUCGAGUCGAGUUCAUAUUGGCCUGUAGCAAUCUCGAGUUCUAGUUCUCGACAGGAAUUUUGACACGUGUUGCGUGAUUUUUCCAGAACAUUCCAGAGCACUUUUUCAGUUAAUUUUUUUUCCUGUUAAGUGAUUGUGAGGUGAACUAAGUAGUUUAAUUUUUCCAGCAUUUUUAACAACUUGUAAGAUAUUUAAUUUUUCGAUCCACGAAAGAGUCGCGGUUCUAAUAUUUUUAAAGUAGGUGUUGCUAGGAUUUAUUAUUUGUGUGUUUGUGCCAGAUAGUAGAGCAAGGUUGUGGAGCUAGCCUUGAGUCUACUAAGGAACGACUCCUAAGGACGAUUGAAACCCAAAGAACGGUUUUCCCUUAACCGACUUCAACUCGCCUUCUCCCCACUUUUGUGCGCUUGUUUGGCAAUUUUUAUUUUUUUAACACAAAGUGGGAGGUAAGCAUUUUCCUAACCCUCCUCGAAUCCCAUGCAAGAGGAGUUUCUGUAAUGAUUAGCAUGACCUUGAUUGUUGUUUGAUUUUAAAUUCUCUUUUUACUUGAUAAACCGGGACUGCAAGGCGGACCUGGCCUAACAGUGAAACUUAAUAUCAAUUGAUUGCAAUAUCCUAAGCUUUAAAAUUGAAUCAACUAAAGCCAUGCUAUCACGGUGUUCAUUUGAGACCUUGAGCAAAUAUUUCAACUAGUACCGCGUGAACCAUUCUUUGAUUGGAGCACAAGCUAGGAAUUGUGUUUGGAACCCCUACAGAUUACGUCUAUAGAAUCAUUGUGGUUUUUAAUUAAGGAACGUUACUUACGCACGGAAAACCUCCCACACUUGUUAUUCGCUACUUGACUCUCAAAAUAUAGGAAAAAUUCACAAAGAAAGCUUGGAAAGAACUCAUUGACUUCAUGCUUGGAAGGAAAAGGCGCCUCCUAAUAGCGCAGACAUGAAAACUAAGUAUGAUAAGUAUAUACUUAGUUUUCAUAGAGUCCAGAAGUCUGAUUUGGGCCCAUGAGCUAUCAAACUGAAGGUCUUGGUCCAAGCUAAACUUAAGUUUAAAAUAAUUAGGUUUUGCUUAAGAACUAAUACCUCUAGAAGACCAACAGCAGCAACCACGAAUUUGACCUAAUUUGGAAGUCUUUGCAUGCAAGUAUUAUGCUUUGUAAUUUCUAUAUAAGAGAAGUAGUAGCUAGGGUUUAGGUAGUUCAUGUUGAAGAAGAAAAAGCUUGUAUUGAUCUCAAUUCUUAAUUCUUAUUAUCAAUCAAAUCAAAUCACUUACUUUAUGAUGUUUUGUUAUUUAAUUAUUUAUUCCAUGGUGUCAUCAUCAAGGAUGAGUAGCUAAAUCUCCUUAGGGGGAUGGUUGAAGCACUCUAGAUGAUGCAAAAGCACCAUGUUUGUUCUUAAUGUUCAUUGUGAUUCAAAGUUUUUAAUGCUUAUUUACUUCUAAUUUGCGAUAUGAGGUAGGUAUAAUUAUUUGCAUGUUAUUGUUAUCCAUGUUGUUAAAAUACAAUUGUUAGAGUUUAGGGAGACCUAGCUUUAAUGGUUUUAUUUAUAUUGAUUGAAGAUGUGUAGUAAAAUAGCUAAGAGGUGAUUAUUUCAUAUCUGUAGUUUAUAUCUUUUAUUGGAACCCUUUUGUAAUUAAAUUGAAUAGCUGAGAGGUGACGGUUUGAUUAAUGAUACAUAUUCAAUAGCAUGCAUAAGAGAAUCCCUUUUUAAUUGAGUGGAAUAGCUGAGAGGUGACUACUUGAUUAUUAUAGGUAUUGAUGAUUACUUGGAAUAGCUGAGAGGUGACUAAUUAAUUGUUAUACAUUGAACAUGAAAGAAUAACAUGUUAUAUAUGUUUGCAUGAUUUAGUUUGUGGAUACCAAUUCUCCCCCCUAUGUCAUCAUAAGAUCUUCUUUUCAUCUCUACCAUAUUCUUAACUUAGGUUAUUUACAGUUUAUUAUUAUUGUCUGUAGGAAGUAGAAUCAAUCUCAAUCUUAAUUGUUGAUUCCCUUGGUGUUCUUUAAUUAUUGUUUUCUAUUGUGUUUGAGCUAAGAUCUUCACCUUUGAGGUGAGUACGACCCUUGUUUGUUACUUGCUACUUUGAUAAUCAAUAUAUACAGGCACAAGAAGGAACUUCAAAUGAAAAUACAAUCUUCUGAAUAGAGGAUACACUUUUCCUUUAUAUCAACCACCAAAAAAGAACAAUCGAAAAGCUAGCCUCGCCGAAAUUUGAUAGUCAUCUAAUACAAGGAUCUACGUAUAGAAGGUAAUGAUUAUCCAGGAUUCCCUCUCCCUCGGUCCUCAACUACCUCUGUAUGACUCCACCGAUCCUUGAAAUUAGAUCACUAACAACUCUCUUCCUUACUCUAGCAGGCCUAACCACCUAUUCCGGCGACCCCUUGACAAUUCCGACCCCUUCCUCAGCUACCCUUAAUUGUUCUUCUUGUUGUGAUUGUUCUUCUUCUUCUUCUUCUUUUGAUUGUUCUUCUUCCAUUUCUUCUUCGUAUGAUUCUAUUAUCUCAUCAUCACCAUCCUUUAAAACCUUUUCAUUUUUCAAAGUUUUGCAUCUAGCCAUUUUUUUUGGAGAUCUAGGGUUUAAAUUUGAUGAAAUUGAAUGAAAAUCGAAAGGAGAUGAAAUUGUAGAUGAAAUUAUUGAUCGGAGAUGAAUUUGUAGAUGAAAUCGAAGAAAGAUUACAGAAAAACUGAGAGAGAAAGUGAGAAGAUGGAAAAAUACGGUUUGUUCGGGGUAAAUCCUAACAAAAGUUUUUUGGUUUCCUAAAACCUAAAAAACCUCUAUAUCUGGUCCUUGUGACAAAAUUCUGUUAUCGGUUUUAGAUGGUUAUUACAGGUCGGAGCUCCUCAAAAGAGUGCAGAAGGUAAUGGAUAGAAACAUGAUGACUGUUUGUUCGAACGAAUAUGUAUUUAAAAGAAUUGGGUUUGCUAUUCAGAAAAUUCUUGCAGCGCAGUUUGUACUGCGCUUAUCCUCUACUUUUGUGUAAUUUCUUGAGUUUAUCGAUAAAAUAGUUCAUGUUAAAAAAAAAAACAUAACGACUUGACAUUUUGAAGAAAUAGCCUGGGUUUUCGACACAUACUGUAAGGGGGCUGGCCCAACCCUAAAAUCUUGAGGGCUUUAUCAUCUGAGGGCCGGGUUGCCUGGACACUGGCCAUUUCACACUUCUACUCAACGCUCAAAUAUUCAUUUUCUGUGCUGAAUAAAAUAAGAAAUGUAAAUAAAGAUUAUAGAAGUUCAUUCAAUGUCUUAACCCAUCUCAAUAGGAGAAACCCCAAUUACAGAACCACAAAACACAUGAAACAAAUCAAAUAUAAUAUACACAAGUUGGUAUCUCCUUAUUUUCAGAGUUCUGUAUACACCAUUAUGAAUGGCAAUUGGUACUCAUGAGGAGAGUCCAAAAUGGGAUAGUAGUUCAAUAUAAAGAUGGCACAUCAACCCUUCAUUUAAGCUUCAACUCCCUUAUUGAGAUCAAUUCUGUGAUAGGCGCGAACCUUGAGGGGACCAUCAAUGUGAAGAUUGAGCAUGGUUCUGUAGUUUACAGGUUUCUUCUCAUCCUCUAACUUGAACAUAAAGCAGCGUAACAAGAGAGCAGCGUAGAUCUUCAUCUGUCUGUAAGCGAAUUCCUUGCCCAAACAAAUUCGCGGUCCAGCCUAAACAGAAAUAGCAAGAGGAUGAAAAUGACAUUAAUGGAGUUGGCAAGAUCAUAAGACAUAAAUAAUGGUUAUAACUUAUUCUUGUUUCUUAUAGAAAUGAUUCUCACUUGGAAGGCUGUGAACUUGAAUGGACUCUCAUUGUGAAAGGUGCCAUCUUUGUCAAGCCAUCUUUCAGGACGAAACUCCUCUGCAUCCUCACCCCAAAUGAAUUUCAUUCUUCCCAUGGCAUAAGGCUGGUAGGAUACCAUAUCUCCUUUCUUGACACUAAAACCAUCUGGCAAGGUAUCAUCUGAGAAACAAAUUUUCGCAUCCUGUAAUACAACCACCAUAAAUAAUUAAUACCAUGUUACAGUCCAAACAUGAAAAAUUCACCAAAUGAACAGAAGGUAUAUAUGUUAAUUGACAAACCACAGGAACUGCAGGGUAGAGUCUAAGAGUCUCAGAUAGAGCUGCAUGAAGAUACUGCAUCUUAUCAAGAACAUCCUCAGUCGUCACGUUAGCUGAGAACUCACUGAAUGAAGUGUUAUCUUUCACUUGGGUUGCAUCCUUCACUUCUUGCGCGAUUUUUUCUUGUAUAUCAGGAUGUUUGCAGAGCAUGUAAAUGAACCAGGAAAGAGUGGUAGCUGUUGUGUCUCUGCCGGCAUUUAAGAAAUUUAGUACGAUGUCCCUUAAGUACUUUGGAUCUGUCUCAUUUAAAUCUAGAAACCGCGACAUGAUGUCUUCUUUUUUAACCUGCCAUCUCCUAGUGUUAAACGGCGAUAUACAAUAAACUUACAAAACAUUUAGGCAUUGCGAGAAAAGAAUUUUAAGAACUCACAGAAGAGUCAUCGUCAGAAUUUGAAACUUUCUCGAUUUUGGUACGAAUUAGCUUAUAUAUGAAGCUGUCAAUCACUUCAAGAUUUUUCCUUAGUGUUGCUUCAAAUCCAACAUUCAAGUAUUUCUUGACCAUCCAUAAUAAGUCAACAUAACGCCACAGUGUCAGAGCACUUGAAUCAUUAAAUGCAUUGGCAAAUAUUGUUCCUUCAUUUGAUCCAUAUAUGCUAUCAAGCUCUACACCGAAUCCAACUUUAAAUAUUGAGUCCAUGGUUGAUUUCAUAAACAAAUCCUACAAAAAUAUAAAUAAUGAUUACUGGUGAAGUUGGAUUGGGAUAAAAUAUAUAUAUACAAUACAUAAUCAGAGUUCAUAUAAUGUAUAAUACAUGCAAUGGAUAGGGAGCAUUUCUAUAUAUUGAACUUUGGAUCAACCAAUCACAAACUUACUUGAAUAUCAACAGACUUAUUUGCAUUUCCAGCAUCUGAAAUAAUGGAAGCAAGUCUUUCAGCAUUUCGUCGAAAGACUGCACUGCUAAAAUCUCUCAAGACUUUUGUAGAGAAUUCAUAACUAGAAACCUUCCUUUGAUGUUUCCACUUAUCGCCAUCUACGGUGAAAAUUCCAUCACCCAACAAAUCCUUCAAUAUGACAUAGUUAUACCAUCCCUGCAAAAAUAUUUACACCAUAUUUAGAUCUGAUCUAACAGGUCUAGCAUGAUAUCUUGAGAUGCAUGAAAGCAAUUAGGUGCCUAUACGCAUAACUUAAUUACCUUUCCGUAGUUUGGAAAAUUUGAUUUAAGGAUGUAUUCAACAUUCGCAGGAUCAGACGUGUAAAUUUCACUGCGAAAAGGGCUUAACAACCUAUAAGUCUUGUGCUUGCCGGCAAGAUCAGUCAUGUAGUGGUGCAACCUUUUAAAGUUGAGAAGUUGGUUGAAUACAGUACCACCAACAGGGUGGUAUUUCUUCUUGUCGGUCAGUUUUCUAACGACGACUGUGACUGUUAUGAGAACAAGAAGGACAGCUAAUGCUGUUGGUAAGGUGGAGAUAGUGGUGCUAAUUGAAUCCAUCAAUGCAAUUUUGGGUGAAGAGUGGUCUGCGCGCUCAGCUCCUUAUUAUAUAUAUAAAUUAACUUUAAUAGGGAGGGAUGAUACUACAUAAUAGCGAUUAGAUUCCGAACAGAGUAUUCAUUCAAUCAUUUAGAUCUUAUCCCAUUCCACCCACCUCAUAGAGUAAAACUUAAUUCACUGUCAGAUAUUUUCGUCAAUAAUCCAGUUUGGCUUUAAUUACAAGCUCUAAAAGUGGCUUGUCGCCGAGCUAGAGUUCAAUCCAUAUACGCUGAUUACUAUUAUGCAAAUGUUCAUUUACAGAAAAAGGGUGAAAGAGAUGGUGCAGUAAGUUGCAUUAUGCAGAACAACUUAAGUUUUUGACAGCAUCCUUAUGACCUUAAGGUUAUAAGUUCGUGCCCAUAAAAGAUGACUGUCAAUUCCUGCAUGUAAUGGCUUGUUUAAUUGUCUAUUUUACUGUUAGCCUGCAUGUAAUUGCUGAUUAUAGUCCGUUACAUUAUGGAUUAAUUGUCAAUGAAUAAUCUGUAAUAGUAAGGUUUAAUUUCUUUCUUGAUCAUAGGUGUAUGUAGAUGACAGUCCAUGUCUAUGAGUAAUUAGUCCGCAACAGUAUGGUUUAGUUGGCUGUGAUUUAAGAUUUAUUUGUCCACUAUUAGUCUGCAACAGUACGCUUUUCUUACAUCGUCCUUAUAAGUCCAUGAAUAGAUGGCUGUCAAUUCUUUUUUUCAUUUUUCAAUUGGCAAGCGGGGUUGAGGGCACCCCUACCCGGCUACCCCUUUAUUACGUGUGGAAACUUAUAUCAACAAUCAGCUGUCGAUUCAUUCUUACAUGUUAUGGGCUUAUGGCUACUCUAAUUAGUCUUGUGACAAGCACGUACUGCAAUAAACCCCACUCAACUCGUUCCAAAAAAGGAUUCCAUUUUCAUCAGUACUGAAGAAAGGAACUUGGUCUCUGGCCUUUCAUCGAGAUCUGACAGGUGUAGGUGACAUGUCCAUUCUAUGAUUAGUCGUUUAAUUAACUAAUUAUUGUCUAUUUCGGAGAAAAUAACCUUACGCCAGCUUGAUAGGUACUACAUACAACAUACAUGUGGCACCAUCUCUACCGUUCAUCAUGGUGCCACGUGUCAACAUCUAAUGGGCUCUCUCUUGAUGUCACAAGUUACAAAGUUAAAGCCAAUUACUACAAAGAUAUUCUCUCAUUAUUACCCUAGUAAAUGCUAAGAAUGGAGUUACAUUGUAGCCUAUAAAUAUGAAGGCAAGCUACUCAUUCUAGGCAUGUUCUCAUCUCUUCUCACAUGGUCUGAUAGCCUUAUGCUCCCAACACGACCUCAUGGUGAGGUCUCAUGAUCAACGACCUCCCCAAUCUCUCAUGAUGAGACCUCACCUCUCAGGUCUCAUCUCUCUCUUGAGCUCUCUCCAUUAUCGAGCUCCCAUCUUGUAUCACCACUACUAUAAUAAACUUCUUUCUCCCCUCUCCGUGGAUGUAGGCACAAUUGUCGAACCACGUAUACAAUGGUGUUCAUGUCUCUACUUUAUUAUCAUUUACAAAUCAAUAUCAUUCAUUAAUGUAUUGACCAACUUCACAAAUAUGGUUAAUACAUUUGGCGCCGACUGAGGGGACUUGGGAUUUUCUCAAGCGACUUCCACCCACCAACCCCACCAUUACACCAUUGUUGUAAGGCUCUCAAAGUGGUGAUUUCAAGUUCAAGAAAUUCUAUUUGGCAGAAUGGCAAUCACAAUUUCCAAAUUGGGGGUUUUAUUUCGGUUACCAUUACUGUAUGUGAAACUCGACGAAAGCAAGAUAAGUAUCAAUUCACUAUGAUCUUACUGUUCAUUCUAUUUUGUCUCAUACAAAUUGAUUAUUAUAUGCAUCUAUGUAACAUAUAUUCUCAUAACUCGAUCAUGAUUAUAUAUAUCAGUUACAUUCUUAAUGGCCACAUGUUCAGGUCUUGCAGAGACCUCCUCACAUAUUCAGGUCUCUAAGCCAACGACCUCUCAGGUCUCUAAGCCAACGACCUCUCAGGUCUCUAAGCCAACGACCUCUCAGGUCUCGACGCGACCUCACUUCAUUCAGGUCUCUAAGCCAACGACCUCUCAGGUCUCAUCGCGACCUCCCCAGGUCCUUAAUAACGACCUCUUCAAAUUACAGGUCCUUCAACGACCCCAACAAUAUUUAUGCCAUACAGGGGGCUAUUCUCACUUUAUCUAAUCAAAUUAAAUUAUUAGCACAAUUAGCUUUUAAUGAUAUUUUUUGUAGCUCUCUCUAUGUGCGGGUCACAUGAACACGACCUCACUCCCCAUGAGCUAUUUUUGCAUGUGCCACAUUGCUUUCACUGAACUCUUUACAAGUGAAAUGCUUGAUAUACAAUACGGCCACCCUCAUUGACUAGUGAGUCACUCGUAUGCGAGACGACCUCAAACACAAUUCUCUAGCCACACGCCUGGUCGAACACAUUCACUCUCAACGCAAUGCAGACCCACAAAGGCCACAUGCCCGAGAAUUGUCAAACAGGUCUCCACGCUGCGACCAUUCACUAGAUCGGGCACCAAAAGGUUCCAAGUAACUCUCAAAACACUUGGUCAACCAAUGCUCUUUCUCAAACGAGCUACAUUUGCACUCCAAAGUGCCACAUCUAUCGAAGUGUCCAGUCACAAGGUGACAAAGAUAGUACAUACAAGUAUAAGGAAGACGUACAAUUCCAUGUAAGUCUUUUAUUGAAUUUUAUAAUGUUUCACAUGCUAACAUUAUCAGGUCUAUGCAAUUCGAUCACACAAACGCAACAACCCAUGCAUACAAGAAGACCCACUUCAGUACGACCUGCUUGCAGCUGUCCAUCUCGUCUACAUGCCUUCUGAACGAGCUACCAGGUCUCCCUGGAAGUAACUAGCUCGCUAUACACAAAGUCAUGAUCGAGUUGCAAUUACCACAAGGGACCUUCGUCGCGUCCUGCAAAUCUCAAUGAUCAAACUCAUCAAAAUUUGGGGCGGAUCGACUUCGUUAAAGAACCCCAUAUUUCAUUCAUCUUGGGGGCUGGAUCGGUUCGAUUACUUCUUUUCAGCCCGAACUCCGUUCAACCUAAAAAGAGGGGGCUUAUGUAGGGGUACUACAUACAACAUACAUGUGGCACCAUCUCUAUCGUUCAUCAUGGUGCCACGUGUCAACAUCUAAUGGGCUCUCUCUUGAUGUCACAAGUUACAAAGUUAAAGCCAAUUACUACAAAGAUAUUCUCUCAUUAUUACCCUAGUAAAUGCUAAGAAUGGAGUUACAUUGUAGCCUAUAAAUAUGAAGGCAAGCUACUCAUUCUAGGCAUGUUCUCAUCUCUUCUCACAUGGUCUGAUAGCCUUAUGCUCCCAACACGACCUCAUGGUGAGGUCUCAUGAUCAACGACCUCCCCAAUCUCUCAUGAUGAGACCUCACCUCUCAGGUCUCAUCUCUCUCUUGAGCUCUCUCCAUUAUCGAUCUCCCAUCUUGUAUCACCACUACUAUAAUAAACUUCUUUCUCCCUCUCCGUGGAUGUAGGCACAAUUGCCGAACCACGUAUACAAUGGUGUUCAUGUCUCUACUUUAUUAUCAUUUACAAAUCAUCAUCAUUCAUUAAUGUAUUGACCAACUUCAUAAAUAUGGUUAAUACACACGACAUGCAUGAUUCCAUAUAUAUAUGGUUAUUGGCAUUUAGCAUUAUAUCUAUAAUAAUGAAGGUUCACUCCUCAUGCCUCAAAAAGGAUGGCCCUCUUUUCAUCGAACCAGCAAGUUGAGCUCACUCUGCAACAAUAAGUCAAUAAUGGUUACCUAAUUACUGAUGCCUAACGAUCAUGUUACGCCACUCAAUGACAUGCCAUGACAAAGCUAGAAGGAGCCAUGUCUGUUCCUUGUCUCCUCUUAUAAUCUUGAAGGUCACUACAUGCAUGUAUGUGAUCAUCACAAUAAGAUGGCCGGGAACAGGCACUAAUUCACUUGUAACUUGUAAGUUAAUUGAGUUCAGUUGAUAUAACUUUCGGCCAAGUUUAAAUGUCUGCAUGUCAUUUGAUAGUGUUGAAUUCAUUGGAAAACACUUGGUUAAUUAAAAGCACUCAAAACAAAUCUUUAUGCAUGGAGGAUGAUAUUAGCCAUGGAUGUGCGAAGAUUUUUGCAAUCGUCAUGUUUUAGAUAAUCUGACAGAAGAACUUUCAACAUGCAACAUAUAUACAUAUGCAUAACAUUUUGUUCACAAACUGUUAAUUAAACAGGCUAGCUAGCUAGCUAUAAGUUAGAGUAGACUAUACCAACUGUAGUAUCAUUUAUCAACAGAAACAACCGAGAUUAAUGAUAAAGACAUAGAGGUGUGCUGGAAUCAUCCCACACUUGCAGUCACUAGAAGUUAGAAGAAAGUCCAGAAAUGAUGGUCCAUCAUGACCUCACCAGUUAAGAAAAAAUUAUCAGAAUGGAAAAUUUGUUCAACUCUUCCUUGGUAUCGGGGUUCAAGCUUCAAAACGCAUGCUUGACUGUAAGUCAGGAUAUUUAUUCAACAAAAAAGCAUUGUGAUAAAUCAUCCACUACCAUAGCUAAGAUUCAUGGUAUGGUACCUCAUUCUGUCUUUGUCGAUCUCAUGAACCAAAAGACAGAUGUGCAUUCCUUGGACAUAUGCAGAGAAAUUAUUUGCAGAUCCAACUUUGUCCAAAAAGCUAUAAAGCUGUUAGAAGAUCGAAGAAGGCACUUCGAAGAUAUAUGUCGCAUAUGCACAGCAGUCCAUGAUUGAACUCUUUACAGAAAAAUAUGUAUUAAAAAAAUUUCUGAAGUACGAAAAAAGCCACAUGAACAGUUAAAUGAAAUGAUUAAGCAGUUUAUUCAAAUGCCAUAUAUUAUUCAAAUGAAAUGUUUUGGUUAAAUGAAAUAAUAAUCAAAGGUUUUGAUGCUGAACAUUAUCUAAAAUGUUGAAUUUAUGAAUGUUGAAAAGUAGAACGCAUUUUCCUCUGCCCCUAAAAGUAGAAGACAAGCCAAGACUGAGACUGUAACAUAUCAUCUAUGGACACAUGCAUGUCACGUCUUUAUCAAAAUAAUUCUCUGUUUUUUUACCAAAGAAAAAACAGAAACUGUCCUGUUUAGUAUUUUAUAAUCUCAAAGGGGUGGAUGUAGGAAUGUCAAAAGCAUGAAGUAGGUCGACUUACCUGUGUUUGAUUAAGUUUUUUUAUGAUCCGGUUGAUAUACAUUAUUGUAGAUUUUAGCUACACAGGUUCGAUCGAGCGCGCUUUUAGAGAAAGAAUUUUGAACAUAUGGCAUCGAAGACAUGAUUCAUAAUAUGCAUGAGAUGUUCCAACCUUUGCCAAUGUCAUGUUCUAACAAUAUAAGUAUGUACAGAGAAACCGCUUAUACUCUAUGAUCAAUAUAUGAACAAGACCUGAAACUAAAUUCUUCAAACAACAAAAAACCUUUUAACUUUUUUCUAGGAAAUUAACUAUAUAUGCAGCUGAUGAUAUAAUAUCAAUGAUUCAUGAAAAAGGGUGUAAACAAACAAAAAUGAGGUAAGAAAAUUAAACUGGGGACAUCAUCGAAUAACUAGCUAGCUAGCGAUAAAAUGAGAACAAAAUAGUGGGAUUGAAUAAUUGAUCACUCUCGUAUCAAUUUCUUUCAAGCAAAGUGUGUGGAUUUUUUAGAUCACGAGACUCCAUUGUGUCAUUGUCUCCUAGUUAAUCAAAGGACACAAAAAUGUGAUAUUAUUGGAGUUAUGCAGAAAAUUAUCUGUGCACUAAAAUUAAUAAUAGAUGGAUCCAUUGUGGAUGAAUGGACCCUAAUAACAUGAACUUAUUUUCCACCAAAAACAAAUAUCCAACCAAUGGUACCAAGACAAAAUAAAGAUAAUAAUCAAGAUGAGAUUUUAUGGCAAUUCAUAAGUCAUACAUCUUUAAUUAGUCAUCACAUGCACUAUGUUAAAAUGCAACUAUUUAUUUGAAAGAUCCACUCUACAUUGUUGAUGUUUUGGUUAAACUGAUUAAUCUUGAGAAUAUGAUUAGUAUACCUUGUUCAUGGAAAUUCCAUUUUCCAGGAAGAAAGAGCCAAAACUCCUGUGUACGUGACACUAAAGGCGAUGGCCUGGUUAAUACGUAUACCAUUGCUAAGUUCUAUGAACUUUUGAACUUUUUUGUUGUUAUCUUUUUUAUGUUUAUGUCUUCCAGUUGUUACUUUUCAUCCAUGGAUGUUUAAUUCACCAGACAACAGAUUUAAGCAAUGUUCGUUGAUGAUGUAUGGAAGCGAAUUAAAGAAAGACUCACAACAGAUUUAAGCAAUGUUCGUUUAAGCAAUCUUUUUUAUGUUUAGUGAAAACACUUGCCAAUGAUAGCUUUUAACACACUUUUCGAGCAAAACACUUUUAACUGCCAAGAAGUUAAAAGAGUUUUAGAGGUGCCACAUAAGAUUGUUUAAUAAUUAAAAAUUAAAUUGCAUUAAAUGAUUGUCACAUUUGUGUUAUUUUUAUCUUUCAUUCAAAAACAACCAUUAUAUUGGCAACUCUAAAAGUAAAAAAACACUUUUAGCAUAGUUUAAUCCUAAAACCUUUACCCUCUCUCCUACCUGGCACCUCUAAAACCAUUUUACCAUUGGGAAUGCUCUGAGUAGUUUAGAGCAAUCCAAUGGGAGGGCAGUUUGGUGCCCUCCAGAUAGGUGUCACAUAAGCAAAACCACCUUCAAAAUCACUUUCUCUCUAUGGUUAUCAAAACCCCCUGCGAAGUGGUGCCAAUGGAAAAAUUUGGAAAUGUCAGUUUACCAAAAUUAAAUGGAUUAUAAGACGGAACUUUGAGUUCCGGUUACCAAAUUUUGUAAGUGUUAUAAGACGGAACUUCGAGUUCGUGAAAAGUUAGUCUAUAAGACGGAACUUCAAGUUCCAUAUAAGAUAUAAAGUGUAUAAGACGGAACCGUGUGUUCCGAAAAAAUAUUAAACCGGAACACGGUGUUCCGUCUUAUGUUAAUAGUUCCGUCUUAUGCAAUUAACAUAUAAAGUGUAUAAGACGGAACUGUGUGUUCCGAAAAAGUGUUAAACCGGAAAACGAUGUUCCGUCUUAUGCAAUUAACAUGGCAUUUUGGAUGACACUCUACUCCCCUCUCAAAUGCCAUUGGAACUUCUAUCCACCGUUGAAUGUUUGACCCACCGUUCCAUUGGCGAAGGAAUUUUAGUUGAGAGGGCAUUUCAUACUACCGCCCUUCUCAAAUGCCCUCCCAUUGGGAUUGCUCUUAUAGAACUUUAUCAAAACCUUAGACUCUUAAUAAAAUUACUACUACUUUGCCCAGAAACCCUAAAUAAAAUAAAUAAAUGAAUUUACGGAUUUUCCAGAUAUGACUGGUGCAAUUUGACUAAUGUAUACCAAAAUUGUAGUUUCUUUUCGUCAUCAAAUGUUCUGUUAAAUUGAAGUCUUAUACAUCCGGUUGUGUGGUAUGGUGUGGAAUUAUAUGUCCAAACUGUUUAUUUGCAAUCAUCCAGACUUGAAAUCGUUCUCAGAAAUGAAACGAUAUGAGAAAGCUAGUUAAUUAACUAACGUGCACACCCUAGACUCUGGUGCAGAAGACCUGAUGAUAUCUUUAGGCUGUGUUUGAUAGGCAUCAUUUGCCAUGGCAAAUAGCUAUAGUGGAUAUAUUUGCCCACUAAAAUAGUAUUUGUCGGUGUUUGAUACGUUUUUUAUGAUGUGGCAAAUAUUUUCAACUUUUAUCCAGUAUGGAAGAUUUGCCCACUAUAUAUUGGAUAAAAAGUUCCACCUAUUAGGUGGAUUUUGUUUGCCACCAAGUUUUACCCAGUAUUGUGGCAAAUAUAUAUAUAUAUAUAUAUAUAUAUAUAUAUAAAGGCUUUGGACUUUGUGUAGUUCAAUUAAGAAGGAUUUGGGCUUAGGCCUGUAUUAUUUUGUGUUAUAAAAAUAAAAAGGCUUUGGGCUUAGACAUCUGUUAGGGUUUAAUUAGCAAGACUAGGGCUAAUGAAGUAUACAUAUAUCUAACUUAAUGUGUAGUGAUAGAAACCUUGUUCUUAUUCAUUUUGCUCUGUUAAUAGGUGAUUAGUGAUUACUACUCAUUACUAAUUGUGGGUGCAAAAAUUUGAUCCACAAACUCAAGAUAUGUAUAUAUUAAUCCUACAGUUACAAUGAAAGCCUUGUAUAGACGAAGAUAGGAUGGGGGUAUACAGUGAGACUGGACCUGAUCGGGAUCAGGCUGCCUACGUAUCCAAGAUGAUGAACUUGGAAUCAAGUCUCAGCUUCCACUAAGCUCUAAUGGAGUUGCUCAGUGAAAGACUCGUAGUUCAGGAGGUUUAGAACUCCUGUAUUUGUAGUAGGCCGGAGGAGGCUGGCUCAACCGCCCCUCCGGUUUUGACUCCACGAACUCAGGUUGUUCAACUGUGAAGAUGCUUUCCGUCGGAAUAGCUUGCAUGCUGUCGAGCGGUUAUCCCCUUGGUUUGAAUCCCCUUUGACCAGGAUGACUACCACGUGGCAUCCUCUGAUAGGUCCUGGUUCAACCUGGGUUUCCUUUAUCUUCUCCAGCGGGCUAGAACCAUGGGUUAUGUUGGCCUGGAAUCUCGCUGGACUUAUCCAGUUGGUAGGACUUGGAUUGACCAAGCCUAAAAGCAAAGACUUGGGCUUGACUCCUCUGACCGGAGGCCCAAUCUACACUGCAUACUCCCUGGCCAGGUCCUCAUAACUUCUGUGCUAAGCCUUUGGAUGAGCCCCUGUCGCUGCUGGACCUUACUGGGCCGGACCUGGCCUACUUGACUGAGGUGGGCAUGGUUGAUGUAUGGGAGCCCAUGGUUCAACUUCUUAUAUAGUAACAGGAGCCCAUGGUUGAUGUAUGGGAGCCCAAGGUCCACAGAGCGUAUACGGAUCUCUUGAAACCGGGUUGGGCCCUACCCGAUAACCCAGGCUUGGCUGGCUACUGCUUAGGUGCUCCCGGUUUAGCUUCUUAUACAGCCAUCGGUGACACAUGUCUGGUUUUUUUACCUAGGGUACACACACUAAUGAUGGAGUAUACUAUCUGUUCAUGAUUACAACAAUGAUUUCAUUGAAUGAGUUAAUUUCUUAGCUACGUGGAUUAGAAGUUGGCUGGAUUUUUUGUUUUGGUUGAAUUGUUUAGUAUACUGUAUUGGGUCAUGUAUGUGUAUUUUAUAUUGGGUCAUUGAUAUGCACAUGGUUUUGGGCUAUGUAUAUGGGCAAUAGUUUUAAUCCACGACAAAAGUUGAUGUUUGUCAUGGCAAAUAUUGUGAAUCAAACAACAACAAAUAUCAACAAGAAGACAUCUCAUUUGAGUGACCAUUUUAGCUCCCCAUUAAAGUUCCUUGUUGAAGCUUUUUGUAGUUCAUUAGAUUUUAAUAUUUUAAUUGUUUCUUCUUGUUUGAGUUAGUAGAAUUCAAGGAAACCUCUUGGCUCUUCUUAGUCUAAUUUGAUUCUUUUGAAAAGGUUCAGGCAAUCCACAGUCUCUUCUCUCUCUGCCUCUUGAUUUCUGUAACUAGUUCUCUGAGUGGAAAACCUGGCAGGAUAGUUUGGUCUUUACAAGCUAAUUUUCUCAACUUCCACAUCAUAGUGCCCCAGUUUCAUCAGCUCAGCAGGAAGCAUUUUGAUAACAGCUUGCCUACAGACUCCUCUUCAUCUCUUUCAACUCAGACUUCCCACCACUUUCAAUUCCUUUCUCUAUCUCUUUCUUUUAAGAACUAAUCUUUUUAUGUCUUUUCAUUAACUCAGGUACCAGCAGGGGCAAAAGAGGGAAGCUAUUUGGAUCACAUUCCCAAGGUCACUCAAGUAGUCAUUAAUAACUUUCCAGAGUGACAAAGCCAGCAUUAUUCCACUUCUUUUUUGCUAUAAGAGGACAAUUCGUACUCUUUGCAGUCUGCAUAUCCCCCAUUCACAGUCUGAACUUCUCUUCAACAUAAAGCAAACCUCACAUCUCACUGCUUACAACCCUCUGACCAAACUUUUCAACCCCCUUCCCGAUGCAUAAUCUAAACCAUCCCAUUCAGGACACAUUUCUUUCCUUCUAUCAUCCACUUACUUACCUACACUCCCUCCAAUUAAAUCAAAGACUAAGACUCUCACUCACUAUUCUGGACUAUCUAAACCUCAUGGACUCUCAAGUUUUACAUAUCACCAAAGCCAUGAAGAACACCCUCAACUUACAAAAAUCAAGAACCCAUAUCCCUCAUCAUGAAUUGCAAACAAACAGUGACUUCUGGAAAGAUUUGCUCAUACUCACUCUCCUCUUUGGAGAUCACCAUCACCCAAAUCAGGUCAUAAGAAAUACCAAAAUAAAGAUGUAGAUCAAUGGUACAGGUCAAGCUAAUAUGAUACGAGUUUCUCACAACAGAUUCCUCUGCAAAAUCCACAAUGAUGUGGAUGUUCGUAGAGUCGACAAAGGGCAACCGUGGCAAGUAAUGAAUUGUUUGGUGGUCAUGGAGUCGUUCUCGCCACCAACUGAUCCAGAAUCUGUUGUUCUUAACAGAAUUCCUCUCUGGCUAAACUUUAGAGGACUUCUACUGGAACACCUGCGCAGAGAGACUAUUCGAACAGUGGCAAGUGCAUCUGGAGAAUGGGGCCUCAUUCUUCCCGAGAAUGCACUCCCAAAUACAGCUGAUGGUUUUCAUACUCAGGUUAAGGUUGAUAUUAACAAGCCUGUCUCAUGGAGCACACUGGUUAACACCAUGGGAGGAGAAGAAAUCUGGAUUACGUUCGGUUAUGGCAAUUUACCAAGCCUCCACUGCAAUAAAUGCCAACAACUUGGUCACGCAUCUCGAGAUUGCUUCUAUCCGGAGGAUGAUGCAAAGGAACCAGAGACACUGCUGUUGUUGGGUAACCCUGAAAAUUCAAAGGAAGUGAAGACCAGGCAGACUGCAGGAAAUGAGCUCUGGCCUCACGAGAAAACAAGCCCAGCCCAGAUACAUUUGGAAGAAGCUGGGCCUUCAAAUGUGGACCCAUCCAUCAUAGGCACCAAACACGCUAUGAUGAUAUGGGCCCAAGAAGGUCUGCUUGAUGAAGUGCAAGCUCAGGUCUUUAUAAGGGAUCCAAACUCAAAGACCGAGGCCCAAGAUGAAGAAUUAGCAUCUCAAGCACGACCAGGAGAUGUCUCACCUCCACUAGUCUCCAUCACCUCACAAAGAAAUACAAUCCCUAACUGCUUCAAAGAACCUGUUGCGCCUCAUGUAGUUGAUGGUACUAUUCGAAUCAAAGGAAAAGGAAUAUCAAUUGGGAGGAAGGGUUGUAACCGAAAAAAUGAAAUUUUUGAAAAAGGGAAGUCAGUGAUUACAAUUGAAGGUCAAAGGGAGAAGAAAAAACGAAAGAUCAUGGAGAUCAUGUCAAUGGAGGCUGAAAUGAUCCAUGAGGCACCAACACCUAUACAGUCAAUCAACUCAAGCCAAUCCCUUCCCUCUGAAGAUUCUCUGCCAAAGCCACAAAAGCUUGAGCUGAUUCUUCAGCUACUUAUGGAUCCUUUAAUUGCUCCUCACCUGGUUUCCCAUGGACUUCUAAACGCAAAAAUUCUUGAUUUCCUUCCAUCACAGAACGCCUUGUCUAACCAAAUACCUCUCUCACCCAUCUCAGUUAUUCCUGAUUUGACUCAAAACACUGCUGAUAUUGGUAGUCACAUCCACCUGAGUCUGAGUCUGAGUGCAGCAACGGAAACUGAAUAUAGAACCAUUGAUCCAAUGGGAGGUACUGAAACUCGAGCUACUUAUGAUAAUGUGAUCCACAAUAGCAACAAUCCCCUCCAAAGCUCGCUGCUGGUCACCUCUACUAGUUAUCGAUAUAAACAGGUUUGCUCUCUUAAAUCUUUUUUCUACCUUUCUCCUUGCAAUUUCAACUUCCCUGUUCCUGCAAUAGACAUUUAUUUUAAUCCUAUUAAUCGACACUACCUAACCCAUUAUAUAUCAUGCUCAAACCAUCAUAACUAUCUUUACUUACAGUUUCACACUACUUAUUAUAAUCACAUUCACUUUAUCAAUAGAACUUCAUGUAUUACAAACCCUGAACUAUUACCGUAUCUUAAGUCCCAGUAUGCUCAUUGUUUUGAUUGUUUUGCUAUAGCUACUUUGGACCUAUUUUGUACUGUUGUUAACUUGUUACAAGUCAUUUUCUACCCUCAUCCUAGUUGGAUAUGGUUUGAGGUUUUCUUGGGGUUGCAAAUUUCUAUUACCUUGUUUGAUUUGUUGUUCACUAAGAAUUCUCUGGUUAUUAGAAGCUGCUUUGUUACUAUUCAGUCUGUUGAAAUCCAUAGCUCUGAUAGUAGGUCCUGGUUCUGGUGGUUUAGAAUGAAAAUUCUCUCUUGGAAUCUAAGUGGUUGUGGUAAUGACAAUACCAAAAGAGUUCUUAAAACCAUGUUACAUCAGCAUAAACUUGAAAUCAUUUUCUUAAUGGAAACUAAGGCCUCUAGCAGUGAUACUCAAAACCUUAUAAAAACUCUACCUCAUUAUAGAUCUCAUUUCAUUGAGCCUAUUCAACAAGCUGGAGGGCUUUUGUUGCUCUGGGAAUCCUCCAUCGACCUUAGAGUUAUCUCCUCAAAUAAAUAUAUCAUCAACACCACUAUAAACCAAGCUAACCCUUACCCUUCCUUUGCUGCCUCCUUCUACUAUGGGAGUCCUUACCCUCAUUUAGAGGAGUUGAGCUGGUCCUUCUUUCAGAUUGCUGGAGAAUCUUCAGCUCAUCCCUGGAUCACUAUUGGAGAUCUCAAUGCAAUUUUUUGUUCUUCUGAAAAGAGUGGUGGCCUCCCUUUCAAUGAAGUCGAAAAUAGGGUUGCUAUUGAAACUAAACAAACCAUGGGUCUUAUAGAUUUAGGGUUUGUUGCGGAACCUUACACUUGGUGCAACAGAAGAAGUGGGAUCCAUAACAUAAGGAAAAGACUGGAUAGGGCUCUCAUAAGCCCUGAAUGGCAUCUUCUCUUCCCCAAUGCCAGUCUUAAUCACUUAUCUGCCAUAGCCUUUGACCAUUGCCCUAUCCUUCUUGACCUUAACCCAACUCCCAAUGUUGGGCCCAAGCCUUUCAAAUUCCAUAAUAUGUGGACCAGAGAUGAAAACUACAACUUAAUUGUUGAUAUGGCUUGGAAGAGAGUGGCAUGUGCUCCUAAUGAAAACUCUAUAACUAAACACCUAUCCUCUACAAAAAAGGCUCUUUGAACCUGGAACUCACGUGUCUUUGGGAAUGUCUUCAAAAAGAUUGCUUCCAUUAAAUCUAAGAUUUCCUUUAUCCAAUCGCAAGAUCUCUCCCCGGAGAACAAGAUUAUUGAAAAAAAUCUCAUCCUAGCUCUGGAUGAGACCCUCUCUCGUGAAGAGAUGAUUUAGCAGCAAAAAUCCAGCGACCAAAUCAUAAGGGAAGGGGAUAGAAAUACCAGCUACUUCCAUCUCUCUGCCCCCAUCCUCCGGAAUCACUCUAAAAUUGAAGCCAUUCUUAACUACAAUAAUGAGUGGGUUUUCAAUAAAAAAAAAAUCAUCACUUGUUUUGUGUCCCAUUUCGAGAGAUUACUUUGCCCUGUUAUUACUCCCAUGUCUCUCCAUCAAAAAGGGAUAAUAAAACAUUUCUUCCCUACCUCUCUGUCUCAGGAAGACAAUGAUGACCUUAUUAGAGAUGCCUCCCUGGAAGACAUCAAACACUAUGUGUUUAGCAUUGGCCCUAAUAAAGCCCCUGGGCCGGACGGAUUCACUAGCAUGUUCUAUCAAAAAUCUUGGGACAUUGUUAAGACUGAACUCCACCUUCUUAUCCACAACUUUUGGAAUGAAGAUGCAAGCAUUGAACACAUCAAUCAUACCAAUAUUGCUCUGAUCCCUAAAUGUGAUUCUCCCACCUCCCCCUGCCAGUUUAGACCCAUUAGUCUCUACAAUGUCACUUACAAAAUCAUCACUAAGCUCCUAGCUAAUAGAUUAAAAAACCUUCUCCUCUCUAUCAUUUCCCCCCUACAAUGUGCCUUUGUUCCUCGAAGGCAAAUCUCGGACAACAUCAUCAUUACCCAUGAGAUUAUUCACAGUCUCAAAAGAAAACAAGGGAAAGAGGGUGUUAUGGCCAUUAAGAUUGACAUGUCCAAAGCUUUUGAUAGAGUUAACUGGGAAACCAUAAUAGAUAUUCUUGGUUGCAUUGGCUUCCAUCCCAGGUUCAUUAGCUGGAUCACUAAUUGUAUAAGCUCCCUCCACUCUUCUGUCAUCAUCAAUGGUACCCCCAAUGGUUUUUUCAAACCUAUUACUGGAUUAAGGCAAGGAGACCCCAUAUCUCCUUCUCUAUUCAUAAUCUGCAUGGAGCUCCUCUCAAGAAUGAUUCAAGCGAAAUGCAACUCUGGAGCUAUCCAUGGUAUUAAAGCUUCCAGAAAUAGCCCCCCUAUUUCCCAUCUUCUCUUCGCUGAUGACAUUUUCAUAUUCUGCAAAGCUAGCACUAGUGAAGCAAGUGAGAUCUUGAGUACCCUUAACCUCUUCUCUUCCAUUACUGGUCAGCAGAUAAACUUUGAAAAAUCUGGUAUCCUCUUUAGCAAGAAUACCCCUGCUCUUACUCAAACCCACAUUCUUACCACCCUCCAUAUGAAAAACAUCGAUAAAGAGGACCUUUACCUUGGCACCCCCUCUUCCUCGGACAAAAAAAAUCGGUUCUCUUCAACAACCUUGUUGAUAGAGUUACCAAGAGACUAGCUAGUUGGAAAAGCAAAAUCCUUUCCCAAGCUGAUAGAACUGUGUUAAUAAACUCUGUCACCUCGGCUAUUCCCUCCUAUCAAAUGACUUGUUUUAAAAUCCCUAAAGGAGUCAUUGAUAAAAUUGACAAACUUCAAAGAGAUUUCUGGUGGGGAAAAAAUGACAACAACAACUGUAAAAUGCACCUGAUAAACUGGAAAAAAAUCUGCCUAUCUAAAAGGAAUGGGGGAAUAGGGAUAAAGGAUCUUCAGAAACAAAAUGAUGCUCUGCUAUCUAGAAUUGCCUGGAGGAUCUUAUCCAAUCCUGAGAACCUCUGCUCCCAGGUUCUGAAAAAUAAGUACUUUAGAAACUCUACUUUUCUUACUCAUCACUCUAAAUGUUCUACUUCUUGGACUUGGAGCUCUAUCUCUUCCACUAUCCCAACUAUGAAGUCUCAGAUAUGUUGGGACAUUGGAAAUGGCUCAUCUAUACAUAUUUGGGAAGAUGCUUGGAUUCCCUCUAGUCCAAACUUCUUGCCCUUGCCCUCCUUAUCCCCUCAUAUUCACCAACCACACAUCACUCAUGUUAAUCAACUUCUCCUACCUAACUCCUCCCUUUGGAACCUGGUGCUUCUUAAUCAAUUGUUUGACCUCAUAAGUGUCCAGCACAUUCAAAACACUAGCAUUAGAGGUCCUAAUGAAACCGGCAUGAAGUGGUUUGACAUCAAUUUUGUGACAAAGUGUCCUUGGUUAUCUCGCCUUGAAUUCAUUGUUAGGAAAAUCAAGAUGUACGCAUGGUCGUCUCGUGUCCUUCGUGUCUCUUGGUUCUGUCUAAGAAAAGCUAUUGGGUACUGGACGUACGUACCGAGUUAGGACGUACGUACGUCCACUGAAGCAGCAAACAUCUUUUGGUCAGGACGUACGUACGCAGUUAGGACGUUCGUACGUCCAAGCAGGCAGCAAACUUUUACCGUGUGGGGACGUACGAACGUUGAUUCGACGUACGUACGUCCAAUAUGGAUUUUCAGUAUUUCGGCCCAUUUUCCUUGGUUUCCAACCCUAAGUAUAAAUAGGGUUUCUCUUCCAAAGAACAAGUCAGUUCUUUGGCCGUCUAUUCUUCUUCUAGUUCAUAUGUUUUGGUUUAGGUUUUGAUAUUGAAAGUGUUUGUGGCUAUUGAACUCAAUUCCCUUCCUUCCCCCUUCUCUCAAUUCAUCAAUCAGUGAUCUUCCAAAGUUUAUUGUGAUUUCGGCUUCGAGUCUUCUUGUGUGUUCAUCAAGAAGUCGAGUGUCUUGUGCGUACAUCAAGGUGCUCUGGUGAAGUCAAGGUGUUAGAGAUAACCAGGAGUAUCAACUCGCAGUGAGUGCAGGUAGUUGAUAGGUUUGUACAUCUCUUUUCAUCUAGUGGAUUAUUUUGUUGUCGCGAGGACAACCGUGGACGUUUCCCUGUUUGGGUUUUACCACGUUAAAAAUCUUUGUGUGUUAUUUACUUUCUGCAUAUUGUUUGAUUGCUUGUUUGAAUUUACAAUUGUUAUACUAGCACUAUUUGUAGUUUCUCAAUUGGUAUCAGUCGCUGGGGGCUGGUUAAGGAGCGUAAAGGCUCACGCUAACGAUCAAUAGUGCUUUAUGGAACCUCACAAGGUUGCUACUUCAAGUCUUCCUCCACAAUUCAGUGGAAAAGACUUUGUUCAUUGUAAAGUACGGAUGCGAGCUUAUCUCCAAGCCUUAGGAGAAGAAGUCUGGCUUUCUGUUGUCACAGGGUGGAAAGAACCUCUGACUACUACAGGUACUGGUGAUACUGCUGUUACAUCACUGACGCCACGUGAAAAGUGGACGCCUGAACAGAAGUUGUUGGCAAAUUAUAACAACAAGGCACUCAAUGCUAUUUUCAUGGCAUUAAAUGCUAGUGAGUUUCGUCGGGUGCAAGGCUGUGAAGAGGCUAAAGAUGCAUGGAACAGGCUUAUCUGUACACAUGAAGGUGACGAAACAGUCAAAGAAAGUAAGCUGGAACUGUUAACAUCUCAGUUUGAGAAUCUACGGAUGGAUAAUUCUGAGACCUUUGAUGAUUUCUUUAUUCGUCUCCAAGACAUCAUAAACUGCAGUGUGGCUAUUGGUCAUGCAUAUACUGACACACAAGUCGUACAUAAGAUAUUGCGUGCUUUGCCUCCUCGGUUUCGUUCUCGUAAGGAUGCCAUCACUGAGAGUAAUGUGAUUAAGAACAUGUCCAUCGAGACACUUGCUGGGAAACUAAGGACAUGUGAGAUGGAACAGGCUUUGGAAGAACCUUUGAAGAACAAAUCUGUAGCAUUCAAAGCUACAUCGUCUAAAGAACCUUCCACAGGACCUUCUGAUGAUGAAGAACAGGAUGUGGAUGAUAACUAUGCGUUUCUGUCACGUAGCUUUCAGAAGAUUCUGAAAUAUCAACAGAAUCGAGACCCUCGAAAGCGAUUUCCUGAUUCCUCAAAUGCUCCUAGGAGUCGUGGUUUUGAGCGAUUCUCUGUGGAUGGGAGAAGAGCUCGAGUUGAUCGUAAAGAUGUCCAAUGUUACAAGUGUCGUGAAUAUGGACACUUUGCAAAUGAAUGUGACAAGAAGGUGGAUCGCAAACCUGGUGAUAAUUCCAAAGCGAACCUCACAGUAACAUGGGAUGAUUCAGAUGAAGAUGAUGAUGGAAAUCUCUCAAAUGUUGUCUCCAAUUAUGUGGUCUUCAGUGCAUCCCUGGAUGAACAUCCAGGAGGUAUUGUAUCCUCUACUGAUGAUAUUAAUGUUUCUGAUUCUGGUGUUCAUGCUACUACUAGUGAAUUAUGUGAUAUGUAUAAGUUUUCCAUGCAACAAGUAAAGUUGCUUGAAAAAACUAACACCGUCUUGCAGGAUCAGGUAGAUAGUCUUGGGCAGGAUAUAUGCAAUCUUACAGGUGACUCCAACAUGUUGAAGGAAGAAUUUGUGAAGGAAAAGGAGGAUUUCCAAGUGCGUAUUGCCACUCUGGAAAAACUGAAUAAUGAUCUGGAGACACGGUAUCGAUCCCUUGUAUUGGAGCAUGAGAAAGUAAAAGCUGAGUUGUUUGCUGCUAACAAACAAUUGGUUGGGUUUGGUAAAGCAAGUGCUAACCUAAACUCUCUGUUGGGAAUUGGUAAAUCCCAUUCAGAUAAAUCUGGUUUAGGUUAUGACACAUCUGUUCCUCUUUCUACUGCUAGCACUUCCCGCACUGCCUUUGUGCGACCAACAAGUGUCGCUCUUCCUGCUCCUGUGCAGGUGUCUAGUGUGGUAUCACCACCUAAGGUUACUCAUGUAAAGCAUGUCCCGAAAAAGAAUUUUAGACACAAAGGCUUUAAAUGUCUAACAUGUGGUCGCAUGGGUCACACUUCUGCUUUUUGUUGGAAUAAUUUGUAUCCUGCUCAUCAUCCCUCUUUUGCAGGUAACUCAUAUUGGAACAAGUCUUCUACUUUCUCCAUGCAGGCUCCAUACAUGUGGAAUGGCUAUGCUCCGUGGGGUUUACCCAGAACUUCUCCUUAUGGAAAUCGUCCUCAAACAACACCCAUGCCUACUCCACCACCACAUUUCUGGGAUAGGAGUAUGGAUGCAUCCAGGAAAAUAAUAUCUCACAUGGCUCGUUUGGUUGAACCAAUGCCUUUAUCAUGGUAUCUUGACAGCGGUUGUUCGCGUCAUAUGACAGGUGAUAAGACUCUAAUUGAUAACCUGACUCUUGGUUAUGGAGGUAAGGUUAGGUUUGGUAAUGGUAAAAUGCUUCCGGUUGAAGGUAAAGGUAACUUUUCUGAGGUUGGAUCGCUCAAUAGUCAUGAGCUUCUUUUUGUUAAGGGUCUUAAGUCCAAUCUAUUGAGUAUUAGUCAGUUAUGUGAUGCUAAGUUUAAGGUUGUGUUUGAGGAUAAUAGGUGUGAUGUUUUUGAUUCCAAUCAUGUCUUGGUGUUAACUGGUAGUCGCUCAUCUGAUAACUGUUUCAUUGUCACUACACCUCUUCCGCAUUCAUAUACCUAAUGUGUUCAUUGGAACUGUCUGUGUUUAGGAUGUUUAGGUUCGGUCAUUUCUUAUUGUUGUUGGUAUUGAGGACAUACUACAUUCUCUAUUGUGUGGAUUCCAUUUUACAGAUGUUUCUAGUUUGGCGUCCUCAACUGUUUUUGUGUCAUGCAUAGUUGUAGGGUUACAUUAUACUCUCUUCGUAUUGGUAGUUUCUUGCAUGAUGCAUUUACAUGUGGUUGGCUUGUCUUUUACAAUACCUGCAUAACUCCAGUUUUUCUAUGGUUUCUUUUCAUGAUCGUUGUUUUUCUUUUAUAUUUACUCACCUCUUGUAAGUGGUCAAUUACUCACAAAAUCCCCAGCCAUUUGAAUGUCUUGAGAGCAUACUCAUUUGGCUAAGAACCCAUUGGGGCUGUGAGGGUCAUGCUCUGACGGAUGCACUCAGGAGAUGUUAGUUCUUGUGUUGCACGUUAUCAUGGUAUUGCACUUCUUGAGUGUGUUUUGCCGAAAAGAUGUAGGCUACACCCUACCCUCGUGUUCUGGUAAAAGAUGGAGAUACUUUAUACUCCCACACGGGAAUGACAUUUUUUUUUAACAAAAAAAAAAAAAAAAAAAAAAAAAAAACAAAAAGGGAAUGAUAAGUGUCUGUCACACUUGUCUAGUUGGAAGACAAAAAAAAAAAAAAAAAAACAAAACAAAAAAAAAAAAAUUUCUGUGUUUCCUUGGUUUUGUUGUGCUCGGUUUCACCUUCUCCUUGGUCUACUUGCAAAAGACUUUCAAUGUAUUCAAUGAUCAUUUUUUAGUUUGUUUCCGGAGGUUGGUAUUGGUCUAUCAGGUUCUUCUACAUGCUUGCAUCAUUCUAGUAAGUACCAUGCCAUGGUGUAUGAUGUCGUUCUUCGAUUUUGCAUUGUCUUGAGGUUGAGGGUUGUUUAUACUGUAUUCGGCUGUAAUUGGAAUCCUUAUGAUAAGUAGAAGUGUUUUCUUGUGAUGUCUCUCAAUAUUUGUUCUUGGUAGUUCUUUAGUUUAUUAUCUGAUUGUUUAGGUGGUUCUUCAUUUUUUAUAUAUAUAUAUAUUUCAAAAAAAAAAAAAAAAAAAAAGGGGUUCGUACGAACGCUUUCAUGACGUUCGUACGUUUAGGUGGGCAGAUCUUUUUUAAACGUACAAACGCUCCUAGGACGUACGAACGUGAUCUUAGUCAGAUGUUUGGUUUUUGGGUCCCGACGUUCGAACGUUUUCAGAACGUACGAACGUUCGUCAUACAGUCCGGCCCAUUUGUGUUUAAAUUCAAAUUUUUUGAACCAAAGGCUAACUGUUACAUCAAUCGUGCCCCUUUCUUCUCUCUUGCACGAACAUUAGGAAGUCUCCACCUUCCCUCAACGUCUUUUGUUUGGUCUUUCUCUUCCUCUUCUUCUUCGGUGGUUGUGUAUUGCUUCACUCAAGCAGUUUUUUUUCUCCUUGGUGUCCACUCUGUUUUUUAUCAAGUAAGUGAACUCGACUUCUUCCCACAUUCUUCUUUUUCUCCCUCUCCUUCCUCUCUUGGUAUUGCAUGACUAUUCUCUUAGUUUUGUUGAAUUGCAUGGUUAGUUUAAAUUUUUUUUUGGAAUUGUUUGUUUCGGUUUAUAUUGAUUGUGUUGGUUAGUCUUUCACUUCAUCUCCUUGAAAUUGGUGGACAACUUGGCUCUCUCUGUUUAUUGUAACUUCUACUCUAUUGUUGGGUCUAUUUGGUUGUGUGUUUGGGCGUUUGACAUUCUACAUUGUUGUCGAUUACAUGAGUCUUGUUUCUGCACAUCAAGUGUUUGAUUAAAUGUCUCAAUGACAUGGUUAUUGUUUAUUUUGUCGUUUUUCUUACAUUGUUGAAUUGUUUGCUGUUGUGCUUGCGUAGACAAUGGCUUCCAAGCGUGCACGCACCACUCCCACCACCACGGCCUCCACAUCUAAGGGUGCGUCUUCUCGUGCUCCACGGGGUAGGAGCUCCACUCCGGCCUUGUCGCCUCCUCCCACAUCUCUUGGUGCUCAUUCUCGAGCAAAAGCUAUUGUUCCUGAGCGAUUCUUUGACUUGGCAGACAUCGCUGCUACCCCUCUUGGGACUACUCAACUUGGCAACAUAUCCCUAUUCUUUGAGACUCGGAAUUGGCUAAGGGUGGCUCAACCAAUCACCAAGUACUCGGUUGAGCAUACGAUAGCCUUCUAUGAGACGAAGACACCCUCGCAGAAUCGCUCGAGUUUUUCGGUCUUGAUUGAAGGUCAGAGAUACACCAUUUCUCCUAAGGUGGUACGUGAGGCGUUGGGUAUUGAAGGUGAUUUUAUUCCUGAAGGUGCUGUUUCUGUCAGAUGGCCCGUUCCGGAUACGAUUCAAAUUGACUUUGUCACUCAAGUUCAGUAGAUGUUUAUUGAUGGUGUCACGGAAAGGUAUCAUGCCAAGCACUACAGUGCCAUCCUCUUGCACAUGGUUGCCCACUCCAACAUCUACCCCUCCAAGGGCAACAAGAUCAUCAUGACCGACGACAUGGUCAAAUUAGUGGUCUGUAUGUCGGUGCACCAUCUUCAUCUUUCUGAGGUCAUCUACACACGAAUGCUUCAGAUCGAUGCAGCUAAGGGUACUCUUCCUUUCCCUAGCUUUAUAAUGACUAUACUCAAGCACUUGGGUUUUCAGGGACAGUAUAUGGGGGUGAGCCCUCCAAGGUUUGUUGGCCAUGAUUGGGUCAACGCCAUCAAGAAGGGCUGUCAGUCUAGAAAGUUGGCCUUUGAGUCCGUGGGUGCGCGUCUGACGCAUCACCUAAUUUGGGGAGGCAGGGCUCUUGUUCGCCAUGAUGAUUUUGAUCGGGCUUUGACCUCUGGACGCCCCAUCUCAGCCUCUGCUAGGGGCAAUCGGGCUGUUGCAGCAAUUGAUGCUCGGGUUUCCUCUCUCCGACGUCGUCAGGAUCAUAUGGAUGCUCGGUUAGAUCGUUUUGGGGUCAUUCUCUCUCGUCAUGAUGUCAUGAUCAGUGAUAUUCAUGCGAUGAACGUUGCUCAGAUGCGUCAUCUACAGCUGCCACCGACUUGCCUCCGUUUCCGGAAGAGGUGCCUCCAGUUCCAGGUGAGAGUGAUGGUGAUGACUCAGAUGACUCAGAGAGGGUGAUGGUGAACACAGUGAUGGUGCCUCGGAGUCCGAGUAGUUGGUUUUCUGGUUUACUCUCCACAUUUUUGUACUUAACUUUGCUCUUUUGCUAUAUCGGUUUGUUUCUAUUUUUUUUGGAUAUUGAGCAUGUUCUUGGAUAUUGCUAUUUUAAUAUUAGUUCAAGUUUUUUUGUUUUGCAGUAAAUUUUUGUUAUUUAGGUAAUGGACCUCUCUUAUUGGGCCCAUGUUAGGUUUACUCUUGUUUUUCCUAUAUAUAGGGGAGUCUUCUCCUCUUUUACUUCUAUUGUGUCUUCUUACCUCUUGCUAGUUCUCUCUUUGUUCUUCAGAAUUUUCUAUGGCAGAAUAUGAACUUCAUGGAAUUUUUGUACCGGCUGUUGGUUAUGUGUCGUUUAUGGUGAUGGAGUACAAAAACAAUGCUAAGGUUUGUCGUUUAUGUCGCGUUCCCCAUGGGUAUGACUAUAUUCAUCGACCUUUUCUUAAUCCUUGUUUGGUUCAUGUCAAUCAUUGGGAGAGAUUACCGGGACAUCUUCAAAAUCACAUCUUGGAGUUGGUUGGUUAUCCGAAGGUUCCAGGACUUGCUGCUCCACUUACCGACUGUGGCUUGGACAGCAGAAUUGAGGAGUUGUUUUGUAAGAGUGAAUGGCUGGAGGAUUAUGAUGAUCAUGUGAUUGCUCGGUGGAAUAGGCCUUCGGCUCGUGCGGAAGCUUACUUCUCCAAGCUUCCUCUAGGUCAUUGGGAACGGGUUUUUCGAAUUCGUUAACUUAAGCCUUGUGUUUUGUCGUUUUGUCUUUUAUGUUAUGGAUUCCUAUGUUUGGAUAUUAGUUGAUUUCCUGAACUUUUAACAGUUGGGUUAGGUUUAUCUUUUUAUCUGUUUUGUCUUCAUUGUUUGGUAUUGAUUUCUUUUUCUUGGUUAUUUGUUUAUUGUUGUUAUUUUAUCGUUUCUUUUGUUGGUUGGUUAUUUUGUUCACUUGUUGUGACAAAAAGGGGGAGAUUUAUGACCCUAAUUACUAACAAUCGUCUUCUUGUUGUUAGGUUAUUUUUGGGUCAUGUUUCAGGUAUGCUACACGUAUGGGGGAGUGAACGUGUUGAUGAUUUUAGACGUUAUAUAGUUAUGGGGGAGUUCGAGUGUCAAAAAUAUUUUGGAGCUCAUGAAGUAUGGGGGAGUUGCUCGAUGGAACUUCUGUUGAAUCCUUGAUUGCUUCGGAAAUUCCUAGUUGCUUCCGUUCGGUCUCUGAUGCUUAAAGCAUCUUGCUAAAGCUGGAUAACAAGAAUUACUGACUUGUUAUGUGUUUCUAUCUUCAGUUAUUUUGUAGGCAUGUUUUAUAAAUGCCAUGGUUUCGGCUUGUAAGCACGUUUUAUAAGUGCUAUUAGAGUCAUAGGUUUUUGUCACAAAAUCAAUGUCAAAGGGGGAGAUUGAAACCUGCAUGAAGUGGUUUGACAUCAAUUUUGUGACAAAGUGUCCUUGGUUAUCUCGCCUUGAAUUCAUUGUUAGGAAAAUCAAGAUGUACGCAUGGUCGUCUCGUGUCCUUCGUGUCUCUUGGUUUUGUCUAAGAAAAGCUAUUGGGUACUGGACGUACGUACCGAGUUAGGACGUACGUACGUCCACUGAAGCAGCAAACAUCUUUUGGUCAGGACGUACGUACGCAGUUAGGACGUUCGUACGUCCAAGCAGGCAGCAAACUUUUACCGUGUGGGGACGUACGAACGUUGAUUCGACGUACGUACGUCCAAUAUGGAUUUUCAGUAUUUCGGCCCAUUUUCCUUGGUUUCCAACACUAAGUAUAAAUAGGGUUUCUCUUCCAAAGAACAAGUCAGUUCUUUGGCCGUCUAUUCUUCUUCUAGUUCAUGUGUUUUGGUUUAGGUUUUGAUAUUGAAAGUGUUUGUGGCUAUUGAACUCAAUUCCCUUUCUUCCCCCUUCUCUCAAUUCAUAUCUUUGUGAUCUUCAAGAGUUAUUGUGAAUUCGGCUUGGAGUCUUCUUGUGUGUUCAUCAAGAAGUCGAGUGUCUUGUGCGUACAUCAAGGUGCUCUGGUGAAGUCAAGGUGUUAGAGAUAACCAGGAGUAUCAACUCGCAGUGAGUGCAGGUAGUUGAUAGGUUUGUACAUCUCUUUUCAUCUAGUGGAUUAUUUUGUUGUCGCGAGGACAACCGUGGACGUUUCCCUGUUUGGGUUUUACCACGUUAAAAAUCUCUAUGUGUUAUUUACUUUCUGCAUAUUGUUUGAUUGCUUGUUUGAAUUUACAAUUGUUAUACUAGCACUAUUUGUAGUUUCUCACCUAAUAACUUCGAUAAAAUUAGAUGGAUGGGAACUAAGAAUGGUACCUUUUCUGUUAAAUCUUUGUACCAAAUCCUCAACACUAGCCAGCCCAUCCCCAAUGAUAUUCAGAAAAUAAAUCUCAGAAUCUGGAAAAUCAUGGCUACUCCUAAAGCCCUUCUGUUCACAUGGAAAUGUUUCCAUAAUGCUGUCCCUACUAGAGAAAGACUAGGAAGGCACUUAAGUAUCCCUCGUAAAAAUUGUCCCAUGUGUGAUUGCCCCUUAGAAACUCUGAGACACAUGAUUCUUGACUGCCCUUUCACCAUUGUUGUUUGGUUCCAUAGCUCCAUCCACUUCAGGCUAACUCACUUUAGGAAUAUGCCUCUUCAAAAUUGGUUACACUAUUGGAUUAAACCACCUGAUAAUUGGUUGAUGGAAACAAACCCUUGGAGCUCUUUUUGUAUUUGUGCAACUUGGGAAAUUUGGAAGACUAGAUGCUACAGAAUUUUUCAGAAUAGCAAUGAUUCCCCCCUUGCUAUUGCUACCAAGAUUGAUAAACUGAUGAUGAUUUACCAUAAGUCUGCAUUACCAACAGGAAGUCCAGCAACUGUCCCCAACUUUACUACUAUUUGGAUUCCACCAGCUUACGGGAAUGUUAAAAUAAAUGUGGAUAUUGCCUUCUCUACUGCUGAUGGCCCCUUCGGCAUUGGUUUUCUUAUAAGAACAUAAUCUGGAUCUUUUAUUACUGCAGGCACAAAAUCAGGGAAUGCUGGGACCUCAGAAGAAGCAGAAUGUCAUGGAAUCAGCUGCACAAUUAGGGCAGGGAUCCAACACCAACUAACAGACGUGGAGAUCGAGACUGACAACAAAGGAGCAUCUGACUUUCUGAAUGGGGGAGCUUCAAACUUGUCAUGGAUCUCACAAAACAUUUUAAUUUCUGCACAAGCUCUAUCUAUUAAGUUCAAUCAUGUAUGCUUUAAAUUUUGCAACAGGUCUGGGAACCAUUCGGCUCACAUCCUUGCACAUCAUGCGGAUAGAAGCUCAAUGGUUCCUAUUUCCUAUAGUGCACCUCCAGACUGGCUACUGCCUCAAUUAUCAGAGGAUCUAUGUUUAUGUAAUAUUGCGAACUAGUAGCAUCUUUCUAAUAUAAUGACUAUUCAAAAAAGAAAAACAACAACAAAUAGUAAUAAAAUGAGGCAAAUAGUAUUCGCCCACUAUGCUAUCAAACAAUGACAAAUUUAAAACACCCACUAUCAGUUUGUCAUUAUCCACUAUAAUUUACCAUGGCAAAUCAAAAUUUAUUUUGCCAUUACCCACUAUCCUAUCAAACACAGCCUUAGUUUUAGCAGAUGAUUAUUAACAAUAUUAAAGCAGUGAUCGACAACAUUUUCCUUCAUAGAUUUACACUGGGUAAUAUUGCAGAGUAGUGACAGAAGCAUAAUUCCUUAAAUUGUGUCCAUGCAAAACUCAUUUUGAGCUCUGUCACUGUCCUCCUAUAGUUGUGCCACUGCCAUUCUUUAGCUAGUUUCCACGAGGCAGUAGUUGUCUAUUUUUGUCGAUAUUUUGAGGGAGAUUGUGUCAAAACAAAGGGGAAAUCAUUACAUAUUUUGCAAAUUUAUGUGGUUGACAGCAAUCAGAAGUCAGCCAGGAAGAGAAGCUAGCUACUAAAUUUAAUUGUAUACUCUAUGACAAUAAUCAGUACUAAAAAUUAAUUCCUUGAUUUUCCUGCUAUCAAUCUUAACAUAUUGAUUCCUCAAUGCAUUCAUGUGAGAUUCAAAAUUUUAUAAUUACGCAAACCUGCACUAAGAAAGCAUAAUUGGAAUAUCCAAAUAGUAGUUGAAACAUGUCAAAAGCUGUUGCAGUUUUGAAAUGACCUCAAACAUAUGUCUUUGAUUAAAACUCCAGGCAAAUGAUUCUGCUGCUACAAUAACUACAAAGUGUUUCUCCUAGUUACAGUGCACUUAAUGUUUGCUGAUGUGGCAACUAGCAAUUAUUUGCAACUAUCAAUCAACCCUUGGAACUUGGUAGUAUUUUCCUGAAAGUCAUUCGAGCUAGACCACCUCGUUUGAACUCUUAUUUGGGUGCUUUCCAUCCAAGAUGUCUAUUUAAAAGCUCUAUAUCAGAAUUCCUUCAAGAAAAAAAAACCCAAAAGUUUUACACAAGGGUCAAGGGAGGGAGGGAGAGAAAUUAGAAAAGAAACCCAAGUUAGUAUAGCUUCAUUAGCAUCAAUUAAUGGCAAAUGCCAUGCUCCCUCCUCUAAGCCCACUAGCAUCAUUCAUCAACACUCCAGUUCUCACUUUCUAUGUUCUUGGGGUUUGUGAAUUAGAAGUCCCAUUUGAUAAACCUCAAGCUGUAGAAUUCCUUGAACAUGGCUUUCUUCCACUUAGUAAGCGUUUCUCUUCAAUCAUCGUUACAGAUGAGAAAAAAGUUCAAAGAUGGAAAAAAGUCGAGUGUCAGACAAAAGAUCAUGUUAUCGUUCCCACCUUUCCUUCAGGAUUAACCCAAGAAGAAUACGAUGUAAAACUCGAAGAUUACAUUUCUGACAUAUACAUGGAACAACUUCCUGAAAAUCGUCCUCCAUGGGAAGUGCACUUGUUUAUGUACCCAACAUCUAAUGCAGCUGGAACAAUGUUGUUUAAGCUAAACCAUGCACUUGGUGAUGGUUACUCAAUCAUGGGUGCCUUACUAACUUUGUUUAAAAGAGCUGAUGACCCUUCUCUUCCUCUUAAAUUUCCUAGUGCAUCUUCAAGACUGCCUGGAUUAGCACUCUCCAAUUAUUCAAGAGUGUCUAACUUUGUGUAUAGGUGUGUCAACACUUUUACUGAUUUUACCAAGGGUUUACUUGGUACUUAUUUAGAAGACGAUGACACCGUCCUCCGAUCAAAGACACCCAUGGUGGAGUUUGCGCCGGUGAACAUUUCGUCCGUCACCUUCUCCCUUGAUCAGAUUAAAGAAGUCAAAUCCAAAAUUGGAGCAGUAAGUUGUCUAUAUAUAUCCUUUAAAAUUAUGUUUUUAAUUUUUAAACUACUCGUAUAUAAUUAUGUGAUUUAACUAUUAGUUUAACUGUGAAUCUUCCAUCUGUAUGCAUGGUAUGUUCAUGGCCAUGGGAAUUAAUAAACAAGUAACUUUUGAGAAGGACACCAAUCAUGUUUUUCUUGGUGAGAAGGACAAUCUCUUUUGAGUCAAUCUCUUUGAAAGUCAUGGUUGAAAAGGAUAUGCAGUUUUUGUUGACUUGUUGAAAAUGAGAAAGACUUAUGAUUUUAGGUAGAAUCAUAGUGUCAAAAUUUGGUGCAAUUCCGACUUUGCCCUUUUCCACUAGGGUUAAUCACUCCCUAUCUAGGUUAUAGUGUUUUGUCUAAAAAAUUAAAUUCUUAUAUAUGAUUUGACCUAAAAUCAUACUAUGAUUAGGGUGGGUAUUUUAGUCCAGAAUUUGUUGACUUCAAAGCCCUUUUCAAUAAGAAACCAUCUGUUUCUGUCCUUUCGAAUAAGUUUCCCGUUAAUAAAUAUGGGCUUAUAGCAUGUUAAUGUGGGUUCCACAUGACAUGAAACAUCUUGUGAAUCUUGUGAAUUUGAGAAAAAUAGAAUUAACAAAACAAUUAAUAAACAAAAAAAAUGCAUAAAAAUGAAUAACUAUUUGCAUGAGUUGAUCAAGCAAGAGCAAAGAUCUCUACUGUUCUGAUUUCUUCAACGCUGGUAAUCUUUAAUUUCUUCUUCCUAAGUUAUAGUCUAUUGAAUAAUAUACUUAUCUAAACAAAUUAUUGUUUUGCAUUUUGAACAGACAGUGAAUGAUGUUACAACUGGAGUAAUAGCUUAUGCGCUGCAAUUGUACAUGAAAAGGAAGGGGCAGUUUGUGGGCGAAACGAAGAGCACUGCAUUGAUUGUGAUGAACUUGAGGAUGUACAGAGGCUUCAAAAAUCUUGAAGAGAUGUUAAAAGCAAAUAUAUGGGGAAAUCAUUUUGGGUUUUUAACAGUUUCACUUCCAUCUUUUAAUGACAUUGAUAAUGUUGAUCCUAUAGAGUAUAUCACCAGAUCGAAGAACGAAGUGAAAAGAAGAAUGAAUUCAAUGGCUAGUUAUUUCACUAGCAAAUUCUUGGCCAUACUAGGAACACUAAGAGGCCCAGAGGUUAGGAUUUUUAUUGAAAAAAAAAAAAAAAAAUAGUUACAUUGAUUCAGAGAAAAACAUAAAUGUGAUUAUUUUUUGUGAAUGCAGGCCGCAGCUGAGUACAUACACUCAAACUUGAGGAACACAAGCAUAAUGAUAUCAAAUAUGGCUGGCCCUGUUGAGAAAGCUUCGAUGGCUGGACGCCCACUUAAAAGCUUCUACUUUACCGUGCCUGGAGUACCUCAGGUGAAAGAAUACGCAUCUUAUUUCUAUAAUCAAUACAGCUUUUUUCCUGAUGAUUCAUGUUUACUAAUAUGUACUGGUGGUGUUACAGAGCCUUGUGUUUACCAUAGUUACUUACAUGGGAAAACUAAGAUUGGUGGUAAACUCAGAAAGGGGAUAUAUUGAUCGCGACAUGCUCACUUCGUGCUUAAAAGAAGCAUUCACAAAAAUAUAUGCAGCGUCCGUAGGGGAACAUCCGGUGAAGAUCGAGUAAAUUGAACUGGCUGCAUUUCCUGCCAGAAUGGCAAAUAAGGACUUCAUAAAUUCCAUACCAUAUCUGGCCAAACAAAAAAAAAAGGCCAAUAUUGAUGUGAAUCACUAUUUUACCAUUGUGACUAUUUUAUAAAAUGUUUGCUUUGGAAACUUUGAUAAGUGGUACAUGUAUUACCCUCUGCUAUCAAAAGAAAUGUUUUGUCAAAUGAAAUUUGUGUACGAGUGACCUCCCCUAUUUUUCUAGUUUCUACUUUUUAAAAGAAAUAUGAUCCUGAUCACUGCAAUAAAAUAGAUAAGUAAAAAUCGUCAUAUUUUGAAAAUUAAUUGCUCAACUUCAAUUAUUCAGCUUGCCAAUAUAAUUCAAGUAAUUCUAAUUGAUUCUUAACCUUUAUGUAAAUCUGUCAUUUUCCAUCCAUAAAUUCAAGAAGAUAAUUCCAAAAUUCUACAGUAAUAUCAAGCGCCACCCAACCCAAGUGAUUUUGCAAUGACAAGUGCAUUUUUGGACUAAUCUCAUCUUUGUGGUACCCCCAUGUAUAUGUUUCCUUUAGAAAGUUUAUCUCAAUGCAUCAAAAGGAGCAAGAACUUUGUCAAGUUGUAGAUUUCCUAUCACCAAACAAGUAGUGAUCUGUCUCCAAUCCUGUAGCUGAUAGCCAUAUAUGAACAACAAAAUGAAUAACUUCCACUAGUUUCUUUUAUGAAGGAUUUUAACAGGGGUGGAAGCAGCUCCUUGGUAUUGCAAAGAUCAAGUAGAAGGUAUCCAGAUGACUAUCAAGAAUUUUGAUGUUUUCUCCAUCACACACACUUAUAGAGAGAGCAAUCAAAGAGCUAUGUUGCGGGGCUUGGAGGCACCAGUCUUCAGAAUCCAAUUUACUUUUCUGGUCCUGAUGACGUAAUGUUGCAGGAGAUAUUAGAGAGAGAGAGAACAGGAGUGCUGUAUAUCAGAUUAACUUAAAUGAAAUCUGGUGAGGGUCUGCCUUAACCCUAGCUUACCAGUAAAAAAAAAAGUUGGGUCCAAGGCAUAUUCACUAAUAGUCCAAUAACCAAAAGGCUUUAAACUCUACUAUGUGCUUGCCCGCGCUCUGCGCAUGUUUUUCUGUUUGGACCAAUUUAUUCAAUUGAGAUUUAUUUAUUGUUUAAUAUAAAAAUUUAGUAUUUUUUUUUAUAGAUAUUGCGGCAUAGUUUAAAAUUUCGAUUUCGGGAGAAAUUUCUUUUUCUAAAAUAACAGCAUAUGCUGAGAUUUCGACACUGAAAAUCACAGUGCAAAUCGAGAUUCGCGAAAUUUUGCGAGAUUUCAUGGUACUGAAUUCUCAAAUAUCGCCAUAUACCGUCGAGAUUUCGCAAAAUUUAACGAAAUUUUAAACUGUUGAUAUUGGUAGUUUGGUUAUUUUUUGUUAGAUAAAAUAUCUUGUCAAGUUUAUGUGAAAUUAGGGUAUAUUAAUAAUUUUCUUGGUGAGUUUGGUUAAAUAGAGGUAUUUGGAUGUUUUUCAUGGGUAUUAUUUUAUUCUAAUACAGGUUAUAUUGUUAUUUAUGUGAAAUGUGGUUAUUUCGGUACUUUAAUAAUAUUGUAAAGUGGGCCAGAUUAUAAGCCAAAAUAUUGGGCUUAACUAUUAAGUUAUAGAGAUGGGCUCAUUUGAACUGGGUUGUAGAAAUGGGUUUAUACGAAAUUAUAUACGUAUAGGACACGUGUUAAAACUUUUGAGUAAGGAGACAGAGACGUAUGGUGACCUCAUUUGCCCUGCUCUCUUUAUAGUAGUUUAGAUUUAGUAUUUACUGAAGAAAUGGGAUACAUGCAUAGAUUUUAAAUCCAGGCAAAAUUUGAGGUCCAAAAAACUAAAUAAUACCGCGAAAUUUAGAAGCCAUGUUUCGGAAUUGUGAUGUUGAACCUAAUAGGAAAUUAUGAAUAACGAAAUUUCGAGAAUAUCUGAAAUAAUUUGAAUUUCGGAUAGGUUAUGAAAGUUGACCAAUUACUUUAUAUGGAAACCUAUUGUUUUUAUCAUAUUAGAUAUUUUUAAAUAUUUUUUAACUUAAUUUUAAGAAAUUGACUUGAAUUUUUUUGGCUAUAAAGUAUCUGUAUUAAAUCGUGUGAUAUUUGAAAAUAAAUUGCGAUAUAAUUAAAAUAUUGAAAAUAUCUUGAUAUAUCGGCGAAGAAAUAUUUUAGAUCUCCAUAUUCUACUUUCUACUUUCUACUUUCUACUUAAAAUUAAAUCUUUCUGUCACUAUCUGAAGAAGAAGAACCACGUUGUAAAGAAUUUAGGGGCCUGUUUACUUGGGGAAAACAGUUUUCCAUUUCUAAUUUUCUUUUCUAUCUCUAGUUUUCUUUUUCUAAUGAAAAUUAGAAAACGUGUUCACUUGAUUUUAAAAAUUAGAAAACUGUUUUCUGUUUUCUAAUGUUUUUCUAAUUUUUUUAACAACUUCAAUGAAAUGUUACCUACCCUUGUGUCCUAAGCAAUCUUCUUUGCGCAAUAGUCCCACAAAUUAAAAGCAACGACAACAAACUAGCUCUACGAAUUCUAGCAGGUUGUUUCUUUUUCAAUCCAUCUAAAGCAAAAUUAACUUCAUCAACAUGUUUCAUCAUUUCCCCAAAUUCUUGUGCUUCCAUUAAUGUUGAAGUAGCCAAUACUGGCAUAGAAUUAGACCUACCCACUUUUAAAUUUCUUGAUUUCUUCAAUUUUGAAGAAACCCCUUUUUUUGAAUUUGGUAAAGGUGGUCGAGAUUGAUGAAGGGGUGGUUGUUGAGAUUGAGAUUGAGAUUGGGAUUCAGAGAAAGUAGUAGUAGUAGUAGACCAAGGGCAAGAAUCUUGUGAAGAAGAGAAAGAAAAGUUAUAAACGUCUUGUGAAAGUGGUUGUUGAGAAGAAGAAGAAGAUGAAAUUGAAUCAAUUUCUUCUGAAUCUGAAUAAUUUGUAUUAAUAAAACGAUUUUUACGUCCAUAUGUUCGAACAAUCAUCUUGAAUUGAUAUAAAUUGAUAAAAAAGAUUCAAUCUUUCAUCAAUUUUCUUUAAGAAAAUUAGCUAAACAAGAUGAAUAAGAUGAAAAAGCUAUUUAUGUUUUGCGAGAAGAAGAAGAGAUCGAUGUUUUCCUUUCAAUUUUUUUUUUCUUAUGUUUUGCUCGCAACACGACGUUUUCCAAAUAGAAAACUCUAAAUAGGUGUUUUCCAACUUUAAACUUAAAUCAGAAAACAGAAAAUUUUGGAAAAUUAGAAAACUGUUUUCUAAAUUAGAGAAAACAACGCAAAUAAACACGUUUUCCAAUUUUCGUUUUCUUUAGAGAUAGUUUUCCAGAAAACUGAAAAAGUUUUCCACAAGUAAACAGGGCCUAGAUCUUCAAAAGAUUGAAGAUGGAUAAAUAGAACCAGAUCUCAAACGAUCUUUAAUCUCGCUCUCUCUCUGGUUGAAGACAGAAUCAAAUAGUGAAUUUUAUGAAGAAUUUGCGUAGCAUAUUUUCAGUAGCAUAUAUGAUUUGAAAUGUUAUGAGAAAUCCUUGGAACAUUUUUAAUUCUACUAUUACAGGUUGCCUCUGGUUAAGCUAUAAAUGAAUUAGCUUAAUAUUAUGUCGAUUCUCUUUCAGAUCAAGCAAUAAGCUAGACAAUUAACGAUUUCAUAGCUUAUGGAUUUUACCAAACAUUAUAAACUGGUUUUCUGAUAUUCUAUUCAUUGACUCGAACAUUUAGGAAUUUUGAGAGAUUUAAGCCAAUUUGUGUAAACUGAUGUUUCUCCGAAUGUCGUCCAUUUUAGAAAACUUGGAGUUUGGUAACACAAAAAAUUUGGAUAAAAAUAGAUCACUUACACCAAACGCAAAAUUUGGCCAUUGUCAAUUUGCCGAAAUUUUCAUGUUAUUGGACAUUGAGCCGAAUUGAGUCGAUAUUUUAAUGUUUCCAUCAUUUAUAGUGAUUUGUGAUUUGUUGUGUUGGCCUUGAAUUGCACAAUACACCUAGUUUUGUGAUAUUCUAUUUACCUUCAUUAUUAGUUGAUAUGUUUUAGGAAUAUUGGGAGGUUGAUGACAGUAGGAAAAAAUAUACUAUGAGUACACUUGGCUCUGAGUUGUUUAAGAAUAAAAAAGGCAAAUGGAAGAGAUAUCAUUAUUCAUGCUACGACAAUUAUGACGACGUUAUAGCCAAUAAACAGCAGAGCAACUGUCACACCAAGAAUGGGCUCUUCUAGUAGAGCAUUCGGAAACUCCAGACCAUCAAAUACAAAUUAGUUGCAUUUUAAUGUAUAUUUCAGUAUUUUUUGAAAAAUAUGUGUUCAACUAUUUUGUUGUGGAAUGUAUGCAGGUAUUAUCUGAACGGAACAAGGGUAACCGUGGUGAACAAAUAGCAAAGCAUACUAUAAAAUUGAAUAGAAUGUCAUAAUGUAUUGAUGUAUUUCUCUGUACAUAAGCAUACAAUUUAGGGAGACUUAUUGGAAAGGACAGAAAGAAACAAAUGGUUUCUUAUUGAAAAGACUUUGAAGUCAACAAAUUCUGCACUAAAAUACCCACCCUAAUCAUAGUAUGAUCAUAGGUCAAAUCAUAUAUAAGAAUUUUUUUUUUAACAAAACACUAUAACCUAGGUAGGGAAUGAUUAACCCUAGUGGGAAAGGGCAAAGUCGGAAUUGCACAAAAUUUUAACACUAUGAUUCUACCUAAAAUCAUGAGUCUUUAUCCUUUUCAACAAGUCAACAAAAACUGCAUAUCCUUUUCAACCAUGACUUUCAAUAAGAUUGUCCUUAUGGAGGGUUGACUAAAAAGAGAUUGUCCUUCUCACCAAGAAAAACAUGAUUGGUGUCCUCAAAAGUUACUUUUACAAUUUAUAGAGAAGAAGGGUUUCUCUAAGGUAACUAGUUUAGAUCCUAAAUUACAGUAGGUAAUUGAUACAAUCUUAUAUUUACACAUGUAUUACAUGUUAGCUAUCUAAAUAAGGUAACAUAUAAUAUAUAUGAUCUUGCAUAUCUUCAAUCUAGGAGAAUUAGCUUUCCACAACUAAGAAAGAAAAUUGUAAGUACAUUUUUAUAGUAUUUGCAAGUUGAUAUUCAAUUCAAAACAUGUUUAUUCAAUUUUUUUUUUUUUUUUUUUCUGGUUGGAUAGAAUCAUGAGCACGGUGUGCCCCAACAACCCAAGGAGAUUUCUUUAAGAGUACUCAUAGAAACCGUAAAACAAAUGAGCCUCGAUGAGUUAUCAACGCAUUACAUUGUAUGGAAGCCUCACUUCAAGUUUAAUAUCAAUUUGAAUAUUAUUGGACGUGAUUAUUACUUAAUACUUUUUUUUUUUUAAAUAUAAGAGAAAAUGUCAGAGCUAGCAGGUAGAGAUGAGCAUGAAGUUGAACAAUCCAUCAGUGAUGACAUAUAUUAUAAAGUGAUGCCUCCAGACCGACAUGGACGUGUGUGACUAAUGGGAAGAGGUGAGAUUCCGACAAGUAAUUUUGGGUCCCGAACAUCUUCAUCGAAUCAUAAUGGUGCCCAUCGUAUUGAACAAUUAAAGAAUGAACUAGCUGAGAUGAGAAGGAAAAGACAAGAAAGAGAAGAGGAAAUUGUAUUAACCUGUUUCCAGAUUAAUGCAUUAACUAGGUCAGGUCGUUGUUUGACUGACCAAAGUGGGAGUUUGAGAUCGGAGGUGGCUGCACCUCGAUGAGAUCGAGAUUGCCUACGUACUCUAGCUCGAGGGAGUGGAACUUAGAGAUCAAGCCAUCGUAGUUCUGUUCUUAUAGAAGGUGAAAGGGCGCAGAUCAUGGGAUCGUGCGGAUUCUCCGAUAUCUUAAUGAAUGCGUAACGUCUGACAUUAAAUAUGUAACAGGCCAGGAUAUUCUCUGAGGAUUGGUGAAGGGGCACGUGUGAAUAAAGAGGUCGCCAACGGUCAUAAGCUCGAGUUGUUCUGGUCGGAGUGAGUUAGGUCGUGUUGUGGGCGACUUGGUGGAUUGUUGAGCAUGCCACGUGUCGUGUUUUGAUUGGCUGUUGUAUAUAGUAGAGCUAUAAAUCUUGGCCCAAUGCCUUCAACCCGAACCGACCCAGCCCUAAAAAAAAACACAUUUGGCCCUUACAACUCGGCCCUCACAGAUUUUAGGGUCGGGUCGGGCCGACCUUUUAGAAUUUAAGGGUCGGGAUAGGGUUUUAUAUUGAUGCAUUAAUCCGACCCUAAGCCGGACCCUUGUUAGGCCCUAUAAAAUCCUUUAUUUGGCCCUAAAACUUGUUAAGUAUAUUUUUUUAUUUAUAUAAAUUUAUUAUUAUUAUUCUUAGAAUUUUUAUACAUAGAAUAAAGAAUGAAAAGUAUAAUAAUAUUUACAAUUAUGUUUUUAAAUAUAAAAUCCUCAAAUAACCUCUAGGUUUCUUUUUAUCUUCUAAACUUCAUAAACUUCGUUGGCGUGAAAUCUAUGAGAUGAAAGAUACUAUGUGUUCCUCAAUCAAACGUAUGGACUAAUCAAACAACUCUACUAUAACAAACAAUUAUAUAUGUGGCUUCCAAAGUUAUUUUUGCCAUGUGAAAUUAAUUUCAUAUAUAUUAUACUUGUGUUCUUUUUCGAUAUAAAGUUACGAUAUUAUAAACCAAUUUAUUACAAUUGAGACGAUUUUAUCAAUGUUAUAAAUAAAAAAUCAAUGUUAUAAAUAAAUAAAUUUACCAAAAACAAAAUCAAUGUUAUAAAUAAAAAAUAUUUCAAAGUUCAAAUAUUCAACCUUGGCCUCAAGUCCGACCCUUAGGCUCAGCCCUAUGAGCCCUAUGUUUAAAGUGCUGAGGGGCGGGCUAAGGCUUAAGAUAUUAGUCAUUAGCCCUAACUGACCCGACCCUAUGCAAAUGUUAAGGCCGGGCUGGCCCGACCCUAAAGUCUUUAGGGCUUGUCAUUUAACGGUCGGGCCAGCCCGACCCGGCUCGUUUUACAGCUCUAGUAUGUAGUACCCCUACAUAAGCCCCCUCUUUUUAGUUCGAUAGAAUAUCGGGCUGAAAAGAACUUUUGGUUGCGAGGCGAACUGGUUGAUACGACCACAUUUUUGAAUUUUUGAAAUUGUACAGGUGGUUUCCAUGCAUUACUGUUGGACACCAUCAUUGUGUUUCAUGGGGAAGUGUAGCGGUUUCCUCGAGUAGUUAACUUGUAAUAUUUUGGCAACUGAAGUACGCCUUGUUUGAUGCUCUUCUAUUCGACACGUGGAUUGAUCCAACGGUGGAUGUGAAUAGUCGGAGUAGUAGGCAAUAACUGCAAAGGUCGUGUUUGUCCACAUGUAAUCUUGUCCGUUGAUUAAAAAUUCAUCGAUGGUUGGGAUCUCUCUUCGAUUUGUAUUUAAACUGAAGUUUGAUAUUGGAUUCCUUACUUUUUUUCAUUUGCUCUCUCGAACUACUGCCAUUUUCUCAUUGCGACCUAAAGAUCUUGAGAGCUUUUGAGGUGAGUACCUUCUUCCUUAUUAUUUACUUCCUGUUUCAUUUUCCUUUUCCUGUUUUUUUUUUCUUGUAGAGAUGUCAGAAGGUAGUGAUUCACAAAACGAGCAUUUGAGUGGUGAUAAUGCUGGUUGUUAUGAGUCAGAAGAUUAUAGGACUCGAUCUGGUGAUGAUGCUUGCUCUCCUAGUCGAGUGGGGGACCAUUUAGAUGAGAAUAGCCCUGGUAGUAGUGGUCCUUGUGGGGAGGACAGUUCUGAUGAUGAGAUGGUAGAGGGUGAAAACGGUUGUUUUCAUCGUGUAGUUAACCAUUCCUAUGUGAAGAGGCAUCUUGCCUUUAGGAAGAGCUAUGAGUUUGACUCCAUUAGCAACCUGGACAUAAGGUUUUUGGGAGAUCGUUUGCUUAUAGAAGGGUAUCGACCUAACAAUCCUUUCUCUACUGUUUUUACUUUGCCCCAAUUUCGAGCUGGGCUUAGGCUACUCCUUUCUCGUUUGGUAGUCGACCUUCUGAGUACUAUCAAGCAAGUUCCCUGCCAGAUGAAUGGGAAUUUCUGGAGAAACAUGAGGGUUAUAGACGAGCUGAACAGGUUGCUCAAGUGGGGGGUUAAUGUAGGUGAUGUUUUAGGUCAUUUUUGUUUCAAACGAUCUGCAAAGUUGGAGGCAGGAGGUUACAAUAAAAAAAAUGCAGGUCAGGCCUGAACGUCUGCCUUUGAUUUAUCCUAUUAGUAGUGAGCCUUGGUGGAAGGAGCCCAUGCUGCUCACUGGUCGAGUUACUGAGGAUAACAUUCUGUUGUUGUACGUUACUAGGAAUUUGUCUGACGAACGUAAGUGUGGGUGCAAAAAUUUGAUCCACAAACUCGAGAUAUGUAUAUAUUAAUCCUACAGUUACAAUGAAAGCCUUGUAUAGAAAGAGAUAGGAUGGGGGGUAUACAGUGAGACUGGACCUGAUCGGGAUCAGGCUGCCUACGUAUCCAAGAUGAUGAACUUGGAAUCAAGUCUCUGCUUCCACUAAGCUCUAAUGGAGUUGCUCAGUGAAAGACUAGUAGUUCAGGAGGUUUAGAACUCCUGUAUUUGUAGUAGGCCGGAGGAGGCUGGCUCUUUACUCCACGAACUCGGGUUGUUCAACUGUGAAGAUGCUUUCCGUGGAGAUAGCUUGCAUGCUGCCGAGCGGUUAUCUCCUUGGUUUGAAUCCACUUUGACCAGGAUGACUGCCACGUAGCAUCCUCUGAUAGGUCCUGGUUCAACCUGGGUUUCCUUUAUCUUCUCCAGCGGGCUAGAACCAUGGGUUCUGUUGGCCUGAAAUCUCGCUGGACUUAUCCAGUUGGUUGGGACUUGGAUUGACCAAGCCUGAAAGCAAAGACUUGGGCUUGACUCCUCUGACCGGAGGCCCAAUCUACACUGCAUACUCCCUGUCCAGGUCCUAUGGACUUCUGUGCUAAGCCUUUGGAUGAGCCCCUGUCGCUGCUGGACCUUACUGGGCCGGACCUGGCCUACUUGACUGAGGUGGGCCUGGUCGAUGUAUGGGAGCCCACGGUUCAACUUCUUAUACAGUAACAGGGGCUCCACCCAUUAAUAGUGGACUAUCCUUGAGUCAAGGUCCACAGAGCGUAUGCGGAUCUCUUGAAACCGGGUUGGGCCCUACCCGAUAGCCCAGGCUUGGCUGGCUACUGCUCAGGUGCUCCCGAUUUAGCUUCUUAUACAGCCAUCGAUGACACCUGUCGGGUUUUUUACCUAGGGUACACACAUCGCCCCCUCUUUGUCAAGUAGAAAAUCUGCUUGGGAAAGAUCUUAGCAAUAUCUUCCCCGACUGUUGAGAUUCGGAGGAUUCCUUCCUUGACACGCUUCUUGAUGACGAUUCUGCAUCCCUUGGAUCAAGGACUAGGGCUUCUUUCCUCCUCUAUAAAUAGCAAACUGGAGGUGUAGAAGGAUAUCGACUUCUCUUUCCUCGGUUUCUGUUGCUGCUGUUGAAGCUUCUGCUGAAGAAUGGUUGAUGACCGUGCUGCUGAUUUGGCCCACGACGCAUUCAACCUUAAAGUAGAGCACGUGUUUAACCAAGCGCAGGCUCAGGAGAAGAACCUGGAGAAGGUUGUCUGGCUGGAGCAUGAUAUGAAGUUGUCCCUCAAGAAACGAGACAACAUCAUUGCAUCACUGCGCCAAAACCUUCGGCUCUCUGAAGACUCGUUUAAACAGGCGGAAGACCAGAUCCAAACCUUGAAAGAGAAGGUCUGGAUACUUGGCAAUGCUGCGGCCGGGGGUGCUAGCUGGGACCAGGUCGCUACUUCCCCCCCUACCACCUCGUGGAAUGCUUUGGCAGACUAGUUAAUGUAGCACCAUUGUUGAGGAGCAGUGCCCUCUUUUCUUGACUUUUAUUCAUCAAUAAAAAUCCCUUUUUCCAUGAACAAUGCCUAUGCUUAUCUUGUCUCGAUCUUGGCAGGUUGACUGUCGGUCCAUGGGAGACGGUUGCUUCUCGGGAAACAACUGGGUUGUGGCCCGGCCCUUUUUAACCUUAGUGUAGCUAAAUAAGGAGGGGUUUACUCUUGCUGAGUUAUUCCUCUUUCUUCUUCUUCCUUUGCUCAUCUUCCAUGGCAGCUAGGCAUUCUGAUUCUAGUUCCGUCGGUGACAAUCGGGAACAAUACCGAACGCAUCUCCUUAGCCGUGUGAACAGCUUGAAGGCGCAAGUGGUCGAACGGAAGACCAACGCCGGUGGGAGGAGUGCCAUGAGGGCCGAAUCACGGAUAAAGAUGAGGAAAUCUGGGGCCUCAAAGAAAAGCUGAUAUCUGCCUCUGCUGAGCUUUCCCGGAUGGGAGGCAAGAUAGACGUUGUUGCGGUUUCCUCAUGGAAGGAAGGAUACGCUGAAGCUAAGGCCAAGUACCAUGUCCCCGACUCGCCUGAGGAGUCCGGCCGGGAUCUUCCGUCUCCUCCCUUGAUGUAAUUUAGCUCCGGUCGCACUAUGUAGGGAACUCGGUGCAUCCCGUAUAAUGCAUUUCGUAAUAAAAUCAUGUUUCCUUCUAUUACUGUCUUGAGCUCCGGUAGGUAGAUCUGGUUAUUUUCUUGUUAUGUAGAGUGCAGGAACACAUGUCGAUCAAUCUUUACUUGAUCGUGGUGAUGUAGACCGGAGGUCCACAUAUCGCUGACCUGGACCAUGUGGACCCCACUCGUAGAUGUUGGAUCAAUCUUGCUGAGUGUACGAGGUAGGUUCCAACUGACGUGGGUCCCAGAUGACUGUACGACAUGGGCCCCAGCUGACUGUGUUAAGUGCGCCCCACUUCGUCUUCUCUAAAUCUUCCUUUGUUGGCGGGAAGAUGUACAGCUUCAACUUCCAGUGAAAGCUUGUGACUCUUCGCUGAUCGAGUAAUUAAAACCAGUUGGUUUAGUGACCUUAAUGAUGAUUUCAUUAAGAGAACCUGGAAUACCAUCAACCGGUGGACCCUGGGCUCUCCUUAUAAAAAGGGGAGGCUCGAAAGAGAGAUGGGUAUUCCCUUCACUCUCUUUCUCUUCCUUCUCUUUCAUUUCUACUUCGCCGGAACCUUAGGUUCUGAAACUCCAAAUUCCGGUGAUUUCACGCGAAUUCUACUCCAAAGAUGAGGAGAACCUUAGUCCUGAGCUCAAGUAGUGACGAAGAGCCUCAGAGUCUCUGGCUCCCCGUCCCUCUGCUGAUGAGGGCGGACAAAGUAGUAUUCCGGUGACGGGUCCACCUUCGCCUGCUGGUGUGGCAGAGGUGACUCACCUGAAUUUUGCCGAGCCUCCUGUUGAGAGGCCGAGGAGGAGGUGGCAAGCUUCCUUCAACCUGCCCCAAAAUCCUGAGCUUGAGCGGAUGAGCGCGGCAGAAGUUCAGGAACGGCUUGGCUGGAAAGGGGUCCGGUUUGGUUCCCACCCCUCCAUUUCAGACGGUUGCUCCGGCAGCCUUAUAGCGGUAAGUCUUUACUUAUGGCAUGCAGCUUCCGCUGCUGUCAUGGUGGGGGAUCCCACCCGGUCAGAUGCAUGUGUCCUUCUGGAUAAUCGUGCGUUGGAUCGGGCUGAUCGCUCUCCACUUCGAGAUUCCAUUUGGCCUGGUCGAGUUGUUCAUGCUCAUAAAGUCGGUCGCCCGGGAGGCCAAGGAACGCUGCUUCUACGCAUCUUUUAGCGUACUGCCCGGAGGUUGUCUGGACUUCCCAACCAUUAUGGGAAUUGGUUCGAACCCUGCUACCGGGUGUCAGGGUGGUCGUUUGACCGCAGCAUACAGGUGUCGCGGGACUUCAUAUGUAAGCAUGCGCCUGGCCUUUCUUUCAUUUUUGCCAUUAUGCUUCGUGUGCUUGCUGAGCUCCGGCUCAAGAACAGUGUUGUGCUUGUGUUUGCAGGGAAACGUCAGUUUCAGGUGUCUCUGCCAGCGGGGGCAGAUUCCUCUGCUGUUGAGGGGAACAUUGAGCACUUCUUCCGUCUGUCCGCAGACCUGCGGGACUUGACGCUCCCUGACCAGAUCGUAACGGAUAUCCGCUACCCAGCGAGGCUUGCCCUGCCGGCUCCUCCGCAGGUUGUGGAGGUGGAGUCCAGCUCUUGUGAAGGGGCUGCCACUGUAGAGAGCACGGUCCCUAGUGUUGAGGGGAAGUCUCCGGUUGAGAGUGAGGUUGUUGAUCUGCGGGGGGAGAUGGAUGACUGGCCCGAUGAGGUUCUUCCAGUCGGGGGUAAGAUCUUCUCCUGACGAGCCAAUGCCGGAUGUUCUGCGGAGGUCAUCCCUGUUGUCGGGGAUGUUCAGGUCAGUGAUGCUAGCUCUGUUUGUCAUUCAAACCCUCCCUUGGGUCGCCGGAGGAGGCUACAUGUCUUUUAUGGCUCAUCUGACUCCUCCGGUGAUCCAAGUCUGAUGUCGAGGGAUAGUGGACUUCUUCUUUCCCUUGGGUCUGGCGAAUCAGCUACUGAGGGAUUCUUUCCUACCCCAGUGCAGGUACAUGCUAAGGUGGACAACCUGGGCCAGCCGGAGAUGGUGGGAGGUGUGUCUGAGAAAACAGUGGUCGCCUCUGCUGUUGAGGAAGCCGAGCCAGCUGUGGUGCUGGGGGGUCCGUUGGAUGAAGUGGACGCCCCCAGUAUUGGAGAUGCUGGAGUGGAGGCUCUGGUGGAGGUAAGACCUUCCUAGCCUCCUUCUGGUGAAGUUGUUUCUGUGCAGUCCCCUGCCCCAGUUGAUCCGAGGGGCAAGGUUGUGGUAGAUGAGUCUGCCUGGGGCUCGAAGAGAGCUGUUUCUGCCUUCCCUGCUGACCACGGGGAGCUUGUGCGCCCGAGAAGGGAGGAUGCCAUCCCUCGGGUGCUGAGGGGACCGGUGAUGGGGACUACCCGGAUUAGUAGUGGCUCCCAUGUCCCUGUUGAAGAUGCUCUGGUCGUUGAGGACGUCCAGACUGAGGUGGAGUUCACCAUGCCGAGCACUGCUGAUGAUGAAGCCCCGGCUUAUGGGUGGGGUGACCAGGUCCCAUAUACUGACCUGCUCACUGGCCCCACUGUGCAAUUGGGCCCUGAACCGGGCGAGUACCAGCCUGAGGCCACUCCGGAGUUCUCGCUGCCGGCGUUCACCAUUCAUCCUGCAUUUCUGAGUGGUGAGCCGAUGUCGAUUGGGGACUCCGGCAUCAUGAACCUCCACACUGCUUUUGACUAUAUCUUCCAGAACCUGCUUCCAGAGAACCAGUCAUACUACAGUCGCCUUUCUCGCGACCGGGCGAUGAGGGUGGCUGCCCAGAAUCUCAUCGCGGUAGGAUUCCUUGACUUGAAUUCUGGCUUUAGACUUGUUGAUGUCUAUAUGUUUGUUUCUAAUCUUUGUUUCUCUUUCUGUCAGACACAAGCAUCCAUGGCCCGGGUCUUUGAGGUGAGUGUCAGACCCCGACCUUCUGCCUUGGAAGAUCUGGAGCGCCUGCGAGCUGAGAAUCGUUAGCUCGAGAAAGAUCUGGAGGCGGCCAACAGUGACCGGUGGGCUCUGGACGAGGACAAACGGUCCAUGGUGACAGACUACCAUAACAUGGACUUCACUCUGGACUUCCUUGGCAGAAUUGGAGGCUACUUGCGGGAAGCUGACCCGAGAAAAGCUGGAGCUGGACCGACUUCUCAUGCUCAAGGAGGCGGCGUACGACCGGGCUGCUAAAGAGCUCUGGUUGGCGAAGGCUGCCUAUCAACAGGUCCUCGACCAGCUGGAAAAGGAGAAGGCGAAGAAGGGCGGUAAUGGCCCCGGUCCUUCUUCUCAACCUUAGCUCCUUUAGAUUUUGUCCCGGUUGCCGGGGGACUUCCUCUUGCACAUAUUCGUUUCUCUUCCAAGAAAAUAAAAAUAAUAUUUUGGUAGUGCAAAAACAUCUUGUUAGAUAUCUUUACCUUGUUUACAGCAUUUAUUACAACUGACUAUCUCCCUCGCCCCUUUAUCGUUUUAAGGAGUUUUCCUUGGGACGAUAAUAGUUCUUUUUCUUGCUGACUCCAUGGCGAUUCAUGGUCUGCUACUGAAAAGGGGAUUUUUCCCUGUGCUGCAUGCUUCGACUGGGGGAAGGCUAGCUCGCCUAACGGCCCCGGUUUUUAAAAGUGGAUAGCCUCGCUCUUAAGAUAGAUUUCCAAGACCGGAAGCUAGGUCCAGGCAUCUCAGGCCUAAAAGGAGUGUAACUCCGCAUUCAGGACUUAGCCAGGAUCGGAAGCUAGGUCCGAGCAUCCUGGGUUGGUUGGGGUUUGAUCCCUGACAUCCCUGGUUCCAAGACCGGAAGCUAGGUCCGGGCGUCUUGGGCCUAAAAGGAGGAUAACUCUGCAUUUAGGACUUAGACAGGAUCAGAAACUAGGUCCCGGCAUCCUGGGUUGGAUUGGGUUUGAUCUUUGACAUCCCUAGUUCCAAGACCGGAAGCUAGGUCCGGGCAUCCUGGGUUGGAUGGGGUUUGAUCCCUGACAUCCCUGGUUCCAAGACCAGAAGCUAGGUCCGGGCGUCUUGGGCCUAAAAGGAGCAUAACUCUGCAUUUAAGACUUAGACAAGAUAGGAAACUAGGUCCGGGCAUCCUGGGUUGGAUUGGGUUUGAUCCCUGACAUCUCUGGUUCCAAGACCGGAAGCUAGGUCCGGGCGUAUUGGGCCUAAAAAGAGCAUAACUCUGCAUUUAGGACUUAGACAGGAUUGGAAACUAGGUCCAGGCAUCCUGGGUUGGAUGGGGUUUGAUCCCUGACAUCCUCGAUCUCCAAGACCGGAAGCUAGGUCCGCGCGUCUCGGGCCUAAAAGGAGCAUAACUUUGCAUUUAGGACUUAGACAGGAUCGGAAACUAGGUUCGGGCAUCCUGGGUUGGAUGGGGUUUGAUCCCUGACAUCCUCGAUCUCCAAGAUCGGAAGCUAGGUCCAGGCGUCUCGGGCGUAAAAGAAGCAUAACUCUGGAUUUAGGACUUAGACAUGAUCGAAAACUAGGUCCGGGCAUCCUGUGUUGGAUGGGGUUUGAUCCCUGACAUCCUCGAUCUCCAAGACCGGAAGCUAGGUCCAGGCGUCUUGGGCCUAAAAGGAGCAUAACUCUACAUUUAGGACUUAGCCAGGAUCGGAAGCUAGGUCCGGGCAUCCUGGACCUCAGUGGAGACUUGAUCUUGCACUUAGGAUUUUUAGCAGCAAAUAAUACCAAGUACUCAAAUUCUUACGGCCGGGAAAGAAUCUUUAUUGAAAUCAUCAAAUGGAGUACAUUAUUUGUAGAAUUUCUUGAGGUGGAAAGCGUUCCAUGGUCUGGAGAAGAGGUCGUCGGACAGAGUUCUGAGGAAGUAUGAGCCUUUCGCAGCAUGUCUGUCUAUGAUGUAAGGUCCUUCCCAAUUUUCUCCAAGCUUUCCAACGGUUGUAUCCUCAGUCAUAACUUUGACUUUUCUCAUGACCCAGUCGCCCGGAUUGAAUUUCCUCUUUACGACUCGCUUGUCAUAUCCCCUUUUGAUGGUCUCCUGGUACCCGAGGAGGUGUUGUAGGGCCUGCUCUCUAUUGUCGUCAAGAACAGCUUUUUCCCUUGCCAGAAUUCCUUCGUUCUCCCCGGUAAGGACAGCAUCAGUGCGGGUUGUGGGAGCUAGCAUUUCUGUUGGCAUUACCGCUUCUGCUCCAAAGGUAAGUUGAAACGGUGUCAUACCGGUGGACCCAGUUGCCCAUAAGACCCCCGGGAGUUGCAUCACCCAGUUGUCUUUUGCUUUAUCCAGCCGCUUCUUGAGUGUAUCCAAGAUAACCCGGUUGGAUGCCUCUGCCUGCCUGUUCCCCUGAGGAUAGUACGGGGCUGAGAAGUUGUGCUUGAUCCCCAAGGAUUUGCAGAACAACCAGAUGUUGUCGCAGUCGAACUGCUUUCCAUUAUCGGACACUAGCUCUUGAGGGAUUCCGAAUUUGCAGAUUAUGUCUUUCCACAAAAAUCUUCUGACGAGGCACAUACCUGUACCUAUGCUACUGCUUCAACCCAUUUGGUGAAAUAAUCUGUAGCGACCAAUAGGAAUCUGACUGAUUGUGGAGCAUUUGGAAGCGGUCCCACAAUAUCCAAUCCCCACUUGGCGAUGGGCCAUGCACUCAGGAUGGGGUGUAGUUCGUUUGCCGGGGCAUGACCAACCGGGGCAUGCUUCUGACAUGGGAAGCAUGCCUGUGUGAACUUCUUCGCGUCUGUCAUCAUGUGCGACCACCAGUAUCCUUGGAUCAUUGUCUUCUGUGCUAGAUUUCUGCUCCCGGAAUGGUUGCCGCAGAUCCCAGCAUGGAUCUCUUUCAGUAUGACCAGGCCUUGCUCUGGAGUAAGGCACCUGAACAAGUCCCCGGAGCCAUGGCUCUUCAUGUAUAGCCUGUGCGAGUCUCGGUCCGGUAUGACAGUGAAUUUCCAUGCAUCCCUCUUGACUUUGGCUGUCAUCUUUGGAUUUUCAAGGAGCAAACGGUGGACAAGGAAGCUGAUGUAUGGCUUCCUACAGUCUUGGUUGUUGCUAGACUGCAACUCGGCGUCAAUUCUGUCUACUUCAGAAUUCAGAUUGUCUGGAAUGUCUUCAAUUGGUUCCUCCGGCGGGAGCUCCAAAUCGAUGUGGACAUGAGAGAGCGGUGGUUUUGACGGGUCUGGUUCAUCCGGCUCCGUUGAGGGUGGCAUUGCUUCUAUCCGACUUUUGGUGAGGCAAGGAUUCCAGUCUUCGAGUUGCGAUUCUGGUGGGUCCUGUGUCUGACCCUGUGAUGGUUGACUCGGCUCGCCCUGCUUGCUGGGCUCGUUGACGGACUGUGAAACUUCUUCAUUUCUUCUUCUUUUUUGUCCUCUGGUAGUCAUGAGAACUUCCUUCCAAUGUUUUCACUCCAAGAGAUAGACCUUCGGUAGCGGCAUGUCUGGAUCUUUGGGCCCGGUACUUAGAUCUUUCUGGUAUCCAAUUGAUAGCUGCAGGGGCUCUGUAGUGCUGAUUGAAGAAGAAAGAUACGCCAGGGCAUCUGCGUGCCUGACCUCUAUCCUUUGUCGUUGCUCGACCGUGAUGAAUUCAAACUUCCCUGCCAUGGAAUGGACGAUAUCAAGAUAUUUUGCCAUCCGGUCGUCCUUGGCCUAGAAGGAUCUGGCGAACUGGUUCGCCACUAGCUUUGAAUCUGUCUUGAUCAUGACCCUCCGCGCCCCCAGUUGGAGUGCUGUCCGGAGACCAUAUACAAGAGUUUCGUACUCAGCUUCGUUGUUCGAAGCUAGGAAUCCCAAUUUGACAGAUUUUUCUGUCUUCUGUCCAUCUGGUGAUCAAGAGACAACAUAUAUCGGACGCUGUACAGUUACUGGAUCCGUCAUUAUAGAUUGUCCAUGCUUCUCUGUCUCCUUCGGUCGGAGACUCCUGUGACCGGGGGGCAUCGUUCGCCCCCAGUGUAUCCUCCUCUAGUUCUGGAUUGACCGGGAUAUCCUCGAUGGGAAAGUCCGCCAUCAAGGAGGCUAUUACAUGUCCUUUCUCCGCGGUUCUAGGUUUAUACCAGAUGUGGUAUGUGCUGAGGUAGCUGAACCAUUCGAUUAGUCGAUUAGACUUUUCCUGCUUCCUAAGAGCUUUCCUGAGCGGGAACUCUGUAUAGACUUUGACCGCUCUUCCUUGGAAAUAAGGCUUUAGCCUCCUGGCUGCAUGUACCAAUGCCAGAGCUAUCUUUUCGAUUUUCGAAUAUCUUGUCUCAGCUCCCUGUAGUACUUUGCUGAUGAAGUAGACUGGUUUCUCCUCCGGUUCUUCCAUAAAUAUGACCGCACUGACUACUAUAUCGGAUGCAGCCAGAUAGAUGCCGACUGGUUGCCCGGUCUGUGGUGCUGUGAGGACCGAAGGCUGAGUGAGAUAUGUUUUGAUUUCAUCAAAGGCUUCCUGACAAGUAGGAUUCCAUUCCGCAUUAGUUUUGAUUGCGUUGAAGAAUGGCUUGCACCGGUCCGAGUACCGGGAGAUGAACCUGUUGAGAGCAGCUAACCUCCCAGUUAGCCUCUGGAAUUCUUUUACUGUCUUUGGGGCGGGCAUCUCCAGGACUGCCCGGAUUUGAUCUGGAUUGGCUUUUAUGCCCCGGUUGGUCAUGAGAAAGCCAAGGAACUUGCCGGAAGAAAGACCAAAAAAACAUUUGGCUGGAUUCAGCUUCAUGUUGUAUCGUGUCAGGAUGUCGAAUAUUUGCUGCAGAUCUCGCAAAUGAUUGUCUUUCUCCCUGGUUUUGACCACCAUGUCGUCUAUGUAGACUUCCAUGGUUCGGCCUAUGAUCUCGUUGAAGACGGUGUUGACCAGCUUCUGAUAUGUCGCUCCGGCAUUCUUCAGACCGAAUGGCAUCACCCGGUAGCAGUAAAGCCUCCGGUCGGUGAUGAAUGCGGUAUGUUCCUGAUCUUCUUCGUGAAGUGGAAUCUGGUUGUAACCGGAGUAGGCGUCUAUGAAAGACAAUCUUUGAUAGCUGACGGUGGCGUCUACCAUGUCCGUGAUCCUAGGGAGGGGAUAUGGGUGCACAAGACAUGCUUUGUUAAGAUUAGUAAAAUCGAUGCAAACUCGAAUCUUUCUAUUCUUCUUCUGGAUGACCACGAUGUUGGAAAUCCAGGUAGAGUUGAUGACUGGCUUGAUGAAGUUGACUGAGAGUAGCCGAUCGACUUCUUCAUUGACCACCAAUUUCCGAUCCGGUGCCAUUUGUCUUGGUUUCUGCUUGACCGAUUUGUACUGAGGAUCAAUGUCUAGCUUAUGGCAGGCGACCGCAGGGUCCAUUCCUGGCAUCUCGUUGACACUCCACGCGAAGACUUGGUGAUUCCGCCGGAGCAGAGUGAUCAUGGAAUCCUUCUCUGUCUCCGGUAGACCAGAAGAGAUGUAAGUUGUCUUGUGGGACACCGAUCCCACAAUAACUUCCUCCAGCUCGUCGACCGCUGGUAAUAUCUCGGCUUUUGUGUCUUGUUUCCCCUUAGCAGACUUGCUGGGAGCUGGUUGCUAUUGAUGAGAGUCUGUCAGGAAGAUGGUGUUCCCCUUGGUUUCGGAUAUGGACUUUCCUUUGACAGCAUCGAGAUGGCACUUGAAUGUCGUCCCUUGGUCUCCCUUGACUCUGCAGACUCCGUUGGGAGUCGGGAAUUUGAGGCUCUGGUGGAAGGUGGACACUAUGGCUUUCAUCUGAUGAAUCCAGUCCCUUCCCAGAAUAACGUUGUAGCAGGAGGGGGUGUCGACUAGCAGGAAGUCUAUCCCGACGGUGUUGAACCCCACCGUGAUUGGUAGGUGGACUCACCCGAAGGACUGUGCUGGCUCCCUGUUGAAUCAAUAGAUAGGAGUCUCAUCAGAUUCGAGGAGACCCUUAGAUAGCUCCAUAACUUUGUAGGGGCAUGAGAACAUAACAUUAGAGGUGCUGCUGGCGUCGACCAUGACUCGCCAGACCCGAUAGACUCCAAUCCAUACUGUGAUGACCAGGGCCUCAUUGUGCGGAUAAUGCACGCCCCUCUCGUCUUCAUCGGUGAAUGUCAAACCUCCGGGGACAAUGGACUCAGUGUUCGUCCCUUCGUUGAAGUUGAGUUGUCCAACUUCAUGGACAUGCCCUAUCCACUGGAGCUUUUCCCGAGCACAAUUCUUCCUUUCUGUCUUACAAGAACCGGGUGUCUGUACAUGGCAGAAAUAUUCAAUUCGAUCUCCAGUUUUUACCUGUUCGACUGCUCCGGUCUGUACCAUGUCAGGGAUGAGGCCGGCGUCGACCAGGCGCUGCAUUUCAUACUUCAAUGACACGUAGUUCUUCAGCUCGUGACCGUAGUCGUUGUGAUGAUCACACUUCUUGGACUUAUCUCUUCUGCCCUCCGGGUCUGCCGGAAGGGGGGCAGGUUUGUUGAGCAGCCAUCUGUUCUUGAUCUUUUUGAAUACUUCCUCGAGAGGGAAUCUCAAGGGAGUGAAUUCCCUUUCCUUGCGUUCGCCCCAGGUAAGCUUCUCUGACCGGCGGUCGGGUUGCCUGGCCGGCACUUUCCCCUUCUUGUCCGUGUUCCUGUCAGGGGAUUUUACUUCGUUGCGAUCUCUGUCGGAGCUUUCUUCCUUUGCCUUCUGCGGCUUCUCGGAGGUUUGGCCUCCGGUAAGUCUCUUUCUUCUGGCUUUCAGGUCGUCCUCCUCCUGAGUAUACCUUUCCACUUUCUCGAACAAGGCUGAAACAGAGGAGGGUGGCUUCCUCGCCAGUGACCGAUACAAUUCCUCAGGGUUGCUAUUCAAGGCAUAUUUGAAAGCUUGAAUAACGACGCUUUCAGAUGCGUCCUGUACCUCAGAUAGUAGGGUUCGGAACCUCCGGGCGAAAUUCCUGAGUGUUUCGUUCCGGUCCAUCUGUAAAGAGAACAUGACUUCAGCUCCUUUAUUGGUCUUCACAUUGAACCGGUACUUCUCUUCGAACAACUCAUCCAGUUGUACGAAUGUGCGGACGGAUGCGGGUGGGAGAUUGUGAUACCACGUUUGUGCUUCGACUUUGAGUGAAGCAACAAACAUUUUCGCUAGUAGCUUAUCAUCAUGGUCCCAGAUGGCCAUGGUGCUUUUGUAGUUCAUAACAUGCUGAACCGGACAACCGUCACUACACCAAAACAAGGUUUUAGUAAGUAUUUUUAGAUUUCUAACAUCAUUUUGCUGUUAGAAGUGUAAUAACAUUUUUUUGCCGUUAGUAAAGGCCAAUUUCUGUUAGUAAUAAAUUAAUAUUAUUUUGAAUUAUUUAGUAACACUACUAGAAAAUAAUACUAACGGCCUUGUGUUAUGUAAAGACCCAAGUCCACGCUAGGGAUAUUUUAGUCACUUUACUAGUAAAACAUUGAUAUUAUCAAUUCCCGCGCACCUUACUUUGGUAAUAUUUUGAAAUUGACGUACAGUAAACAAUAUUAGUAAUACGAUAAUAAUAAUAAUAUUUUAAGGGCUGGACGGGUGCGGCAAUUGAGUUUAGAUAGGCAUACAUCAGGUUAUGUAAAGUUCUUACACAUGGGGCAAUUUAUUAAGUUACCCCUCAUCACUUAGGAGCUGGGCUUCCUUACUUUAAACUAUAGAGUUACACCUAAGCUUGAAUUAAGAAGGAGCUGUCUCAAUUUCCCACUUCCUUAUCUCAUUUUAUCCUAAGUUAGAAAACACUAGUCUGAACACAAGGAAAACAAAGAACCAUACUUCAUUUAAUUUUUACUUCGGUUCAAAGAUAUCACAAAUGAAAAGAAUUUCAUACUAAAUUGGGUUCCUAUUGAAAGUUGGGCAGAUCAGAUUAUCUAGAUUAGACGUGUAUUAUUUGAUAAGAAGCUAGAAAAUAGCUUGAGGUUUAGAAGCUUGGCUAGGGAAUUGAUUGGUGGUGGCUGUUAUAGGAUGUUGGCCGACAAAAGAUUAGAAACGAACUCAACAAUCAGUUUGAUUGCUUGUAAGUAUUUCUUGACUCUGAUUUUUUUAUUUCACAAAUAAAAACACAAUUAAUUAAGAUACUACUUUAUCAAUUUACAGAUCAUUAACAUUAAACCCUUUGUAAAAGACUUUGGGUGUGAAUUGGGUAUUUAGAAGAUGAGUAACUUAUCAUGAUUUAAGGACUUGAUCAGGUUCUUUUGUUCUAUUUGCUUGACGACCAGACCUGAGUUUAGUGUAUUAGUUAAGAACUGAUUUUGUUUUAGCAUUUCAUUAGCUUUAGUAAGUGCUAGCUAUACGCCGAUAACUGUAGCUUUAGUAGAAAACCCAAUAUUACACGAAACUAACAAUCGAUUGUGAUACUUUAGAUAAUUAAUUAGAUAGUAUCAAAUUAUUCAAUCUUUAGAUUUUGGGCUUAUGCUUGUGCUUAUAUUUUAGGAUAGCGACGUAGUUCCUUUUACCGGGCUUUGAUAGUGGUAGCAGGAGCGAGCUGAGGUAGGGACUUACAGAACCUUUAUAUUUCUUUUCAUGCUCAUAUUUUAUAAAUGAAUGGAGAUAGUCGUUAUUGAAAUUCAUGCAUGGUUUUGGUUGAAUAUUAUUGCUAACAGGAAUUGCUAUUCGGUUCAUUUCUUAUUAUUAAGUCGAUGAUUGCGAUUGGAUUCCUCGAAAAAAUUUGAUUAUUGGAUUAAUUUAGUUUAUUUAUAUUUUAUAGAAAAGUAGUGUUUUAAAAAGGAAUUUCUCGAUAAAUCUUUUUCCAAUGGGCAAAAGAUUUGGUUUUGUAAUGCGAGGCAAGGAAACCUGAUUGUAAUGUAUAACUGGGAUAUGUGAGGUCCCUAGAUUGGUGGAAAUAUGGAUCUGCUAUGCUGUCACGAUUAUGGCUAUGACCCGGUUACGGUAGCCAACUGUAUGGAUCAUAUUUGAUUAUGGUUGUGGCCCGGUUAGGGUAGCCAUGGAUAUUGUUUAAAUCUGGGGACUCACCACACACAUAUAUAUAUAUAUAUAUAUAUAAAGAAAGUAACUAAUAUAUUAUAUAUAUUUAUAUAAUGAGGUAGUUUGGAGAGGGACCUGUGAAUUCCUAUAAAGAAUGAGUUGUUGUCAUAUUCCGGAGACAACAGUUCAUUCUAGGAUGACAUCUAUGGUGUUCACCUUUAGAAGGUGAAUGGGCCGCCUUCUAGAGAGAUACAUUAGAGAUGUAUCCGGGAAUUCCUUUUCACCAUUCCAGACCACCAUUCAUGUAGUGGUACGUUGUUGAUAUAUUAGUUCAGAUGAGGCUACAUGUAACCUCGAUGAGGUUUAGACGCGAGGGGUGAGAGUUAGUCCACUCCUGGACGUGUGUCAGGAUCCUGUGCAGUCUGCAGUCGUCGAACGGUUGACCACCGUAAGUCAGGGAUUCCUCGUAUCAGGAAUCGUGGUCAAAGGCCCACCUGAGCCUAAAUAGACGGGUUUAGUGUUCUGGGAACACAGUAACGGUAAUACAGUCACCCCACCGGAAAUCAGGAAAUAACGAUGUAGGUUCACACUGGUAAGUACUGAACCAAGAGAUUGCCUGCGACCGGGGCGGUAUAGCGUCGUACCUCAUCAUUCUAGUAGGAUGCAGCUACCCGAAACUAUUGUAUGAUGGUUUGCUUAUAUAUAGUAUACUUGUGAUGCUAUUAUAUUGUAAUGUUUUACAUUUCCGUUUUUAUUAUUCGCCUUUUAUUUAUUUAAAAUCUUGCAUUAUUUACAACUGUUUAUUAUGGAUUAAUCGUCAUGAUUAGAUUUAUAUUGGAACUGUAAGUCACUACUGAGCAAGUGGAUUAUGCUCACCCUACCAUUACCCUUUUCAGACGAUUCUACAAUUGAGGAGCCUGAUGUAGAGGUACUCGAUGACGGGGAUGAUGACUACUUUUGUCUUAUGUGAGAGAGUGGGCAAGGGUUGAAAUAAUCUUUUGUUAGUCACUUUAUAUGAGAUAUAUGUAUAUAUACCUAUUACGAAAACAGUCUUGUAUAUAUACUACAGAAUCAUGUAAGUUUGAGUUAUUAUUUAUAUAUAUAAAAAGUUUGUUUUUUUGUACUUGCGAUUUUGUCGUAAAUGGAGAAAAUGAAUUCAACACCUGACUCCCAAGGUUUUAUUAUUAAUAGGUUAGAAAUGAUAAAUUUUGUCCUUAGUGUUGAUUUAAUGCCUCGAGAUGCGUUUUAGAGUUAUUGAGAUAUGAGUUGUAUUUUGGGGUGUUACAUGUUGUUAGAAGUUAAUAAAAAAAAACCAAAAUUUGUGACAUGUGCUUAUCCCAUGAGGAAAGCCAAGGCGUUAACAAGAGAAACCACCCAUUUCCUCGACUCUCUCUUCCUCCUCACCACAAUCUCAACCUUUCUCACUUCCUCGAUCUGAUUUGAGCCCUGAGUUUGAAAUUCUUUCUCUCACCCUUUAUCAUCUUCUUCCUACUCUUCUGUCGCGAUUACUUGGAUGCUUCCUACCACUUGGUCUCUGUUUCUCUCAAUUAUCUAUAUAAACCCUAGUUUGGAUUUCGAUUUUGACUAGUCAAUAGAAUCUGUUUAUUUGGAACAAGCUGGCGUGUUUUCUCGGUUUCUCUCGGCUGUUAGGGGUUGCAACCUUGGUUGAAAGGUUAGAUAAUCUGAAUUCCAUCUAUUCAAGGCUUUGAUUUCUCUACAAUUUGAUUCUGUUAAAACUAAAAUUUUACAAAAAAGAAGAAAACGAGAAUUUUUAUUGUUAUUCAUAUAACAGUGUUAGGAAUUAGAAUGAAAUUGGGUAAUCCAAGAUUGAAAAUGGUUUACGACUAGUUUGCUUAUUAAUAACUUUCACUUUAUCGAAGGGAAAGAUUACAUAGUGGAGUCAGGUUGUGAAAAAUUAAUCACAAUCCUGACUUUUCGUAAUGAAAUUGAAAAAGCCAUGUAAUGCUACAUUGUAAGAACAAGGACCCAGUCACACAUCAGGUCCUGAUCGGCACCUAUGGUCUCCGUUUCAUGCGUAGACCCAAAUCCAGUUUCAUGUGAGACUUUAACGUCUACCUACUGCACCGCCCCCGGCUCCCAAACCACUCUCCCACAGUUUUAGCCAUUCAAUUAGUUUCAAAAUAUUUUUUUAGGUUAGUAGGAAGGAGAGAUUUGCUAAAAUCUAAAACAAUUCGUAUGGUUAUUUGUUUGAUUUGCUAUUUAAAAUUGAAAGAUUGAUACCAUAUUCUAAGAAAAAUUGGGUCUAAGGAUUGAGAGACAGAGGAUAACGAUAACAAAAAAUAAAUUGAUGUGUUAUUAGGUUUAUGUUUGAAGAAGACAACAUAAUAUUCCACCACCCCUUAAAAGUACAUGUCAAAGUUACAGUAGGAUUGUUGUUACAAAGCAUUAUUUAUUUUUGAUAAAAGUAGUAUAUGUAUUACUAAAGAAAAAUAAGGCUUACAAUAUCUGAUCUGAAUGCAAGGACUGCAUCAUCAGAUUACACCCCCAAAAGACAUUUCCUUGUUAUAUACAGAGUCCCAUUCCCAACCCCACCUUUACAUACCAUGUGUACACAUACAAGCAAAGCUGCAAAUAAAAAGAAAGCCCAGGAAACACUCUAACCAAACCUGCAGAAUGCAUGUACUGCUGCUGCUUGUGGCGCCAGGUAACUCUCUUGCUCCCUAUGUACUGUCGCUGCUGAUAGACCCAACAGAUAUACAACCAUAGUCUUUCAGACCUCCCCUUCAGCAAACUUCUAGGCCUUGUCUAUGUUGUAGUUUGUUGGACCAUUUUAUUCUCACAUAAUAAUUUGUUUCUGGAUAUGACACUUCAUCUAGGUUUACUUUGACAACAUAAGAAACUUCAAAGUAAAAUUUCGUGAGUUCUUCGAGAAUGGAUUCAUCUCUGAGAUUGAAGUUUGGAUUAGGUCCUUGUGGAAAGUUGCGAUUGAAGAUAUCCUGACAUUGGAGAGCUCCAGGUAGCCAGCUUUUAUUAAGUAAUUUGCAUUAAUUAAGUACUUUAGUUUUUUCACUUUUUCUACGAUAUUCCUUGGGCUUUAACUGUUGGCAACAGUAUGUCUUUAACUGUUGGCAUUUUUGGAUAUGUUUUCAGUUAUUGAUUUGUGGUGGAUUCAUACUUCCUAGUUGUUAUAUGUGGGUAUGUUACUGUGAGAAAUUUUGUCUUUUUGUUUUAUUUGCGUAGACCUAAUAUGCUAAUGCACAUACUGGUCAGAUCAUUCUCACUGUCAGCCAUGUGGCCGCCUCCAUGAAUCUAAUGGCAUCACCAAGGCUUAUGGGACAAGCGUACUAUAUAGAGGUAUGUGUUUUAUAAAGAUAUUACAUGAAACUUGUACUUGAAUUGUAUUUUUUCACUCAAAUUGGGAGAUUGUCAAACAUUGCAUGUGGCGUGUCAGAUACAAAUCCUUAUUAACUGUAUAUUUGUCGUUUCCAGUGUGAUCCCAUUGUCGAGGUCAUGUAACCGCUGAUGUUGCUGAAGCGGGUACCCCAUCUUAUAUUAGUAAGGUUAGGGACAAAAUUAAACUGCACACGCUCUUUAUUAUUAGAUGAAUUCUUGUAAUUAUAUACCUAUAGCACGACAUUAAGUUUUUUUGACGUGCAAUUUUCUCAAUUUUGAAUUGAGUCUCCAGUUUUUUUUCGUACAAUUUUCUCAAUGUUGAAUUGAGUCACCAGAUUGUGUAAUCCAUUUUUUGGAACUAUUCAGUUAUAUGAAACCUAGGCAAGAGUUGAAAUAUUUUUAAGUCAAAAACAAAAGUUGCAAUUAUGGGUGUUGCUAACAAGGAAGGUAUAAUGAACUUAUCUGCCACAUAGUUUUCAAUCUUAAUCUAGUUUAUUAUUGAAUACGGUGGAUUAAUAGGUCGUUUAAGGAUCUUUGUUUUUUUUUUUAAUUAGUAUUAUGUUUCCUCUAUAAUAUUUAUUGUUUUAUAUUGUAGGUCAUAGAGAACAAGCCAUAUGAUCACGACAAGGAUGUCUUUAAUUAGUUUCAGAAUGUCUUAUGGGUGCUGAUGAUUGGGAAGGUAAAUCUUUUGGGAUUCAUUUUGGACAUGAACUGAUUGGAUAUAUUCUUGAUUCGGCAAUGCCUGAAUUUAUUAUGUAAUUAACUAUAUGAUUAAUGCAGGUUGUCGCUUAAAUAUUGGCUCAUCGGCUCAUUUGCCUACCUAUACGUCAACAUACCACUAUUUCGCGAGGGCAUGAGGCGAAGGUCAUGAGUGUCUUCACUAGCCAAUGAGAUGCUAUUAGUAGUCAGUAUUUUUUAAAUAAUCAUACAUUUUAUUGGGGUUUGUUAUAAAGAAAGUUGGAUUGUGGUUUGUGGAGACAAAUAAAUGCCUUUGUUUUUUGGCUGAAAUUUUUAAAUAUACAAGAUUUUUUUAUAUUAAUUGCAAAUGAUUUGCAUGUUCUGAUGUAAUGGGAUUAUUUGUUUCAUGUACAGUAUAUGGAAAUGUUUGGGAGCAUAUAUUUGAAUAGGCUAUACUGCAAAAGAAUAAUAGGCUAAUAAUUUGGAUUUUUUUUUUAAUAUGAAUUUCCAAAUUAGUAACAGUAUAGUGUCGUUAGUAAAUUUAUAAGAGUUAAAGAUUUGUAACAGAAGCUACUAGUGGUCGUUAGAAAGUACUAACGGUAUUUUGCUGUUAGAAAAUUAUAUAUACUAACGGUACAAUACCGUUACAACAAGACCUGUUAGUAAAUACUAACGCCAAUUUGCUAACGCAUAAAAACCGUUAGUAAAAAAUUUACUAACAGCAUUUUGCUGUUAGAAAACACAAGUUCUGGUGUUGUGCGUUUGUCUCGUCAUAUUGUUCGAAGGGCGGUUGCUUGAAGCUGGCCGGGACCAUAUGACUCCUGACCUAUUCUGCUAAAGGUGAUAUGGCUAACCUUGAAAGAUUAAGCUUUCCGACUCGCUCAUCCCGGUUGGCUUUGUUGGAUACAGUAAGAUCGAUCAUCUCUUGCAGCUUGAGUUGAUUCAUUUGUUCCACAUUCAGCUCCGGUUGUCUCUGAUGAAUGUGGACCCUUUGAGGGCUCUUUGUUCUCUAACCGUGGCGUGCCGGGGGAGUACUCUGGUGCCUCCUCCGGCGCAGUCUCCCUGGAGGAGUGGCUUCUUCGACAGAUCUGCUGCAGGCAAUCCUGCGGCUAUCACGCGGCCCGGGUGUUCUUGCGCGUCCGCGACGAUGUCUCUGAACUGGAGAGAUAGACAUCCUAUCUCUCCCUGGUGCUAGCCUGUCCCAGACAGGACGGGGACCAUGGCUAUGAGGGGUAAGACUCCGGUCACUGCUUGACCGUGGCCUUAUCUUCUUCUGAGGAGAUGAACUCGAAGACGGGGCUGAGGAUGGCUGGCUAUCUCCGGCUCUGGUUCUCUUCUUUCUCCUUAGUUCUGCGUUUUCCCUGGUCAGCCGCUUGAUGAUUGCAGUUGGGGAUUCGACCGCUGGUCCUUUCCCUUCUGCUGCUCGGUAUAAACACCUCCCGUUGUAGCGGCUGCCCUGGAAGGUUCAGGAUCUUGUGAAGCUGGUAUCCUGACGGUCCGGUUGACCGCAUUAGGAUCACCAGGAUUGUUACUGAUUUGCACCACUAAGUUCUCUGCCUCCGGUUGUCCACUUUCAGAGUGUUUCGAGCCCUAAUCAUGGCCCUCACUCUCGAGAACUGAUUCUUGAUUCACCUGUUUUGUUGCUUCAAGAACCGGAGACAGAGGAGAAAGGUUCUCUGUCUGACUUUCAGUAACUUGACUCAUUCCAUUGUUGGAACGAGUUGGGUGUCUCUUACUUCCAGCCAUUGCUGCAGCAACUCCGGUAUGACUGGAAUGAGAUUCCUUGCAAGACUCUGGAACUGAUGGGAUAUUCAACCCCACGGUGGGCGCCAAAGAGUGUGGGUGCAAAAAUUUGAUCCACAAACUUGAGAUAUGUAUAUAUUAAUCAUACAGUUACAAUGAAAGCCUUGUAUAGACAUAGAUAGGAUGGGGGGUAUACAGUGAGACUGGACCUGAUCGGGAUCAGGCUGCCUACGUAUCCAAGAUGAUGAACUUGUAAUCAAGUCUCUGCUUCCACUAAGCUCUAUUGGAGUUGCUCAGUGAAAGACUCGUAGUUCAGGAGAUUUAGAACUCCUAUAUUUGUAGUAGGCCGGAGGAGGCUGGCUCAACCGCCCCUCCGGUUUUGACUCCACGAACUCAGGUUGUUCAACUGUGAAGAUGCUUUCUGUGGAGAUAGCUUGCAUGCUGCCGAGCGGUUAUCUCCUUGGUUUGAAUCCACAUUGACCAGGAUGCAUCCUCUGAUAGGUUCUGGUUCAACCUGGGUUUCCUUUAUCUUUUCCAGGGGGCUAGAACCAUGGGUUUUGUUGGCCUGGAAUCUCGCUGAACUUAUCCAGUUGGUUGGGACUUGGAUUGACCAAGCCUGAAAGCAAAGACUUGGGCUUGCUUCCUCUGACCGGAGGCCCAAUCUACACUGCAUACUCCCUGGCCAGGUCCUAUGGACUUCUGUGCUAAGCCUUUGGAUGAGCCCCUGUCGCUGCUGGACCUUACUGGGUCGAACCUGGCCUACUCUCUGUUAUGGUUGUUUGCUUAAAUAAUUAUUACAGUUACAAAUUUAAAAUUAUUUUAAUUUUUGAAAUUUUUAAUAACUAUUGCAUGAUUUUUGGGAUUUUAUUUGACACCCUUACUGGAACUUAUAUUCGCGAGACUAAAUUUAUACAUUAUCACGGAAUUUUCAAAAUUAAAUUUGAAUUAUUUCGUGCCCUACACGCUUUCCAGGGGUACAACCGUCAUUUCCACUAAUUUCAGUAGUGGAGGAAGCGUCUAGGGAAAGUCACUUCUCUAUAUAUACCCUCGGGUGUCUUCAGAAAAGUCACAAGUCACCUUAAAAUCCAAAGUCAAACCAAGUCAAAACCGGGUCAAUAGAAGUCUUCUUCCCUUCCAGAACUCGAGUCGAGUUCCUUAGUGUGCAUUGCAAAAGACGAAGGCCAGGGGCAACCGCAUCGACGGCGGGGUUGAUUUUAUUUUUGUUUAUUAACCAUUGGCUUUAUGUAUUUUGAUUUUGUUUUGUUUUAGUUAUUACACUCUUGUAUUAAAUUUUCAAUUAUUGUACUUAUUUCCAAAUAUAAAUGAAAAUGAUAGAAUUUUUAAUUUUUUGCAAACUUGUCCUUUUCUGAAAAUUCUUAGCCAUUCUUGGGCUUCAUUGCAAAUGUUUUGACUUGUGGAGUUAUUUUGAUAAUUCUGGUCCUAGGGACCUAAGUCCAAAUAUUUUAAAAAGAAAAGAGGUUAGGGUUUGAUUUUUGGAAACCCUAAGGUUUUAGGCAAUACUUGGAGUCCUAUUAGGGCUCAAACUUAUUUUUGGCCUAUAUAUACCAAACCAAGGUUGGAGGAUCGUCACUCAAAAAUCAGAAAAACCUUACAAAACUUUUUUAUUUUCUGAGUUUGGCCCGAACUCGAGCCGAGUUCCUUAUAGGCCAUUUCGAUCUCGAGUUUUCACGCUGGUUUUUGGUGUUUUCUCCAUUCUUUUGUAAUGGCUAAUGAUCAGAAUGAUUUGUGGAUGCCCGAUGGCAUGGAUAUCAUCCCUGAGAUGGAUUUUUCGGGAAUUAUGGAUAGUCCUUAUGGAGCUUAUUUUCGGGAUGGGAUUUUCGACAAAGGUUGGGAAGGUUUUCUUUAUGAUUCUACUGCUGUGUAUUCCCCUUCUAUGGUAAGAGAUUUUUACCGUACGUUGCCCUUUGGGGUAGCUAUUCCUUUUGAUGGUUUCAAGGUUGUUAUGCAUGAGUUUCAUGUCAGGUUUAAUUCUUUUGCCAUCACCCGAGCCUUGGAUAUUCCUCUUCAAUUGAGACCUAUCUUGCCACAUCCUGAUUAUCUCCUUUCCAAUCAAGUUGAUGUUCUGGAUAAUUACCUAGAUCACUUUGGACCUUGCACUUUUUCCUUCUAUCCUGAAAAUUAUGCUAAUGUUGCACCUACUACUUGCCUUCCUGCUAAUGUGGCUACUGUCGCUUUAUGGGUGAUGCGGAAUCUUUUAGGUGCAGAUAGAUUGGAGUAUGUCAAUGAUGCUACUAUGCACGUUGUCUAUGGUAUUGUUAAUGACUUUCGUUCUUUUGACAUAUUUUCAUGGAUUGUGGAUAGUAUUCAGAAUGUUUUCCAAACUGGUCAGCUAAUUCUCCCUACUGCUAUAUGCAAGAUCAUCCUUCGUACCUAUCCUGAUUGGAGGAACAGGUACAAUGAUUGGACUCAACUUAUCCCUAUGGAUCCUACGCAUCGUUUUAUCAGGAGGAGUCGCCUAUUCACUUGGGUGCCUAAAACUGAUUAUGCAGAGUAUCCAGAUUUGCAUAGAAAUGAUAAUUUUAUAGAUAAUGGUGAGGGGCCUGGGAAUGUGAUUAAAGAGGAAUUAACUCUUUGGCGCGAUAGGUUGGAUGGUUUGCAAAUAGAAGUUGUUAGAAACCAAGAGUGUAAAGUAGAAUUUCCUUAUCUGUUGAGUCAGUCAUUUAAUUCAGUUGUGUCUUAGAAUGGAAUUCCUUGUAAUCUCUAUGUAUGUGGAGAUAAUUUUGUUUGGCCGGAAUUUAUAAAGCGGUUUGAAUUUUUAGUACAUUCAUGGUAAUAUCUUUCUUACUCUCUCUCCUAUGCAUAGUAUGAGCCUUGAGGACAAAGCAAUCUUUUUGUUUGGGGGUGGGGAAGUAUUACAAUCCUUUUGCAAAUGAUUUUCAAACUUCUUUAUCCAUACUUGUGUAAAAAUUCAAAAUUUUUGAAAGAUCGAAAAAAAUCUUUGUUACAAAGACUUUUUCAGAAAUAGGAUAAGUACACCAUCAAUGAUGAAUAUAAUGGUUGAAUUCUUAUACUACAUUUGCAUGGGCAUAAGCAUGGCAUUCAUCUGCAUUUAUUACAUAUUACAUGUGCAAAUACAACUACACCUUGAAAAAGUUGAGGAAUAAGUAUGGAGACUUAACCUAGUUAGCUUUUGAGCCCCGUCCUUUUCUUGGAGAGUUAUUAGAUUAAUCUGGAGUCAAAAGACUCAACCUCUCAGUUUUGUCUGUUUUUAGUCUCAUAUUCAUUUUUAUAGUUAGCCUUGAGAUGACAUCAAGUGGGUGUAAUAUAAACUUGGGUCUUGUAGCUUAAUCAAGAUGCGAUCACCAUAUCAGUACUUAGAGAUGAUACAAAGACUUUUAGAUAAACCUUGUUUAUCUUAGCCUACCCUGAUGAUAUUUAUCCCAUAGGUUGACCAUUCUGAGCUUUUCCUGUUACUUAGCCUUUUUCUUGAGUCCAUUAUCCUUACCCAUUGUUUUUGGAAUAUGAGGAUGAUCGUUUAUGUGGUUACAAGAAGAAAGGAGAAAUACAUAGAAAAUCUCCAAACUAGUGAGAUGAACCAAAUAUUGAAAACCAAAAGGUUUAAAGAAAUUUCAGAAAAAAGGCAGAAUCUUCCAAACCAUUUCAAAUCCAAAAAGAAAGGAAGAUUCCCAAAUAUUGACUAGAGCUUCAUUAAAAUUUUCCAAAAGAAGAUGAGAAACACUUCUUCCCAAAAGAAAAAUUCCAAAAAUUUCUCCAUGUGAUGUUAUUACAAAUCACAAGUGUUGAAGACCCGAAUCUUCCAAAAAUAUUUCACAAAAGCCUUUUCCAUUUCUAGCCCUGUCCUAAGCCAAGUUACAACCCAUUACUGUCUUUUGUAGAUCUAAGCUAAUAUGGUAGGAUGUGGCGAGUAAGUGAGAAGGUGCUGAGGUGAAAAACCCGACAUCUCAAGUAAGUAAUUUUUCCAUUCUUUGAGACUAAGUUCAUUCUAUUGCACCAGUCCGUCUUAUUGAUAUAUGUGAGAUGAUUGUCCAUCUUCCUUCCUCAAAUAGAGGUAAAAUGAUAAACACCAUCUUUGAGUGACAUUUAUUUCUGAGUGUAUGACUGUGAGGCAGAAGUCAAGGCGACCUUUCCAUUGGUAACUUAAGACCCGUGGUAGCAUGGGUACAUGCCUGUCUUCAAUGCAUUUGAAACCAUUAUGCUUGGUUUAUAUUUCAUAUCUUAUUCAUGCAUUUGUAGUAUGCUAUCUCAUAUGAACGGUUUUGCAAUACUUAUCCUUAUCCUUGAUAUAACCAUUUCUGAGUUAAAUGGUAGAAACUCCAAUUCUUGGAUUAGUCAUUGUAGUAAGUUUGUGGGUAUCUUCUCUGGAAAAUCCUCAGGAGACUAUAACUCCUCCACCUGGGAAAUCUUUGUGGUUAAAAGCCUUGAUGCAUAUGGUUAAUGCAAUCACCUUAGUUUCACUUCUCUUUUAAGUCCUUAAUUCUUUCUUCUCAUCUUUGCAUGAGGACAAACAAAGUGUUGUUUGGGGGUAUUUGAUCAGUCCUCAAAAGUGUAUAUUUAUCUCCCGAAUAACACCUUGUUUGUAUAACACUUAGCUUAUAUUAUUGUGUUAUAUCUAUUGAUUAGUGUUUUCUUGUCUAUUGUGUAGGUUUUAUGAGCCGAAAUGCGAAUAUUGUGUAAAAGCCCGCGAAAAGUCAAGAAAAGCAAGCAAAAAUGUGUUAUUUGCACCUGGGAAGGAGAAUCAAUAUUCGCAUCCACAAGAUCUGCUGAGGGCACCCCACGGUCAGCUCUGUUGAAUUGACUUUAGGUCAAAGUGGGGCGGUCCAAUUCUCAGCCCAAACUGGUUCCUAUUGGAGCCCACAAGUCAAAAUUUCUAUUUUAGGCCUUAUUUAACUCCAAACUUAAAAAUGCUCUACAAGGAGAUCCAGAAGUCUGAUUUGGGCGCAUGAGCUAUCAAACUGAAGGUCUUGGUCCCAACUACAACUUAAGGCUAAGAGAAUUAGGUUUUGCUAAAAAACCUAAUGCCUCUAGAAGACCAACAGCAGCAGCCACGAAUUUGACCUAGUUUGGAAGUCUUUGCAUGCAAGUAUUCUACUUUGUAUUUUCUAUAUAAGAGAAGUAGUAGCUAAGGUUUAGGUAGCUUUUUAUAAAUUGAAGGUUGAAGAGAUAAGUUCAUCUUCUUCUUAUUUUGUAUCAAACGUAAUAGUCAAUAUCAAUUCCAUUAUCUUUUUCAUUAUGAUGUCUUGUGAUUUAUUUAUUUAUUUAUUUCAAGGUGUCAUCAUCAAGGAUGAGUAGCAAAAUCUCCUUAGGGGGAUGGUGGAAGCUCUCUAGAUGAUGCAAAAGCACCAUGUUUGUUCUUAUUGUUCAUUGUGAUUCGAAAUACUUAAUGCUUAUUUACUUCUAAUUCGCGAUAUGAGGUAAGUAUGAUUAUUUGCAUGUUAUUGUUAUCCAUGAUGUUAAAAUAUUAUUGUUAGGGUUUAGGGAGACCUAGCUUUAAUAAUACGGUUUAUAUUUAUUGUAGAUGUGUAGUGAAAUAGCUGAGAGGUGAUUAUUACAUAUUUGCAAUAUAUAUAUUUUAUUGGAACCCUUUUGUAUUUAAAUUGAUAUCCGAGAGGUGACGGUUUAUUUAUGAAUUAAUAUAUUGAAUUAAUUAGAUUGAAUAGCUGAGAGGUGACGGUUUAAUUAAUAAGACAUAUUCAAUAACAUGCAUAAAAGAAUCCCGUUUUCAUUAAGUAGAAUAGCUGAGAGGUGACUACUUAAUUAUUAUAGGUAUUAAUGAUUAGAUGGAAUAAGCGAGAGGUGACUAAUUGAUUGUUAUAGAUUGAACAUGAAGGAACAACAUGUUAUGUUUGCAUGAUUUAGGUAGUGGAUACCAAUUCUCCCCUUUUGUCAUCAUAUAUCUUCUUUUCAUCUCUACCAUAUUCUUAAGUUAGGGUUUACUAUUUAUUAUUGCCUGUAGGAAGUAGAAUCAAUCUCCAAUCUUAUUAUUGAUUCCCUUGGUAUUCUUUAACCAUUGUUUUCUAUUGUGUUUGAGCUAAGAUCCCCCCCUCUGAGGUGGGUAUGACCCUUGCUUGUUACUUGUCUACUUUGAUAUCCAAUUUAUACAGGCACAAGAAGGAAAUUCGAUACAAAAUCUAUAUUUUGAUAGGUGGAGACAUAAAUUUCCAUCUAUCAAUAGUUAGCCUUGAGAUGACAUCAAGUGGGUGUAAUAUAAACUUGGGUCUUGUAGCUUAUUCAAGAUGUGAUCACCAUAUCAGUACUUAGAAGUGAUACAAAGACAUUUAGUUAAUUCCUGUUUACCUUAGCCUACCCUGAUGAUAUUGUAUCAUUUAUGUUAACCAUUCUGAGCCUUUCUUGUUACUUAGCCCUUUUCUUGAGCCCAUUAUCCUUACCCAACUCCAUUGUGGGAAUAAUUACCCGUAGAAUGUUUAUGUCCUUUUUACCCAUUUUUUUUUGGAACAUGAGGAUGAUUGUUUAUGUGGUUGCACGAAAAAAGGAGAAAUAUAAAGAAACCUCCAAACUAGUGAGAUGUACCAAAUAUUGAAAACCAAAAAGUUUGAAGAAAUUCCCCAAAAAAACCAGAAUCUUCCAAAACCAUUUCAAAAUAUUGGCUCGAGCUUCUUUGAAAUUUUCCCAAACGAAGAUGAGAAACAUUUCUUCCCAAAAGAAAAAUUCCAAAAUUUCUCCAUGUGUUGUUAUUACAAAUCACAAGUAUUGAAGGCCCGAAUGUUCCAAAAAUACUUCACAAAAGCCUUCUCCAAUUCUAGCCCUAUCCUAAGCUAAGUUACAACCCAUUACUGUCUUUUGUAAUUCUAAGCUGAUAUGGUAGGAUGUGGCGAGUAAGUGAGAAGGUGCUAAGGUGAAAAACCCGACAUCUCAAGCAAGGCAAAUUUUUCCAUUCCUUGAGACUAAGUUCAUUCCAUUCCACCAGUCCGUUCUUAUUAAUAUAUGUGAGAUGAUUGUCCGUCUUCCUUCCUCACAUAGAGGUAAAUGAUAAACACCAUCUCUGAGUGAUUUUUAUUUCUAAAUGUAUGUCUGUGAGGCAGAAGUCAAAGCGACCUUUCCAAAGUUGACUUAUGACCCGUGGUAGUAUGGGUACAUGCAUGUCUUCAAUGCAUUUCAGACCGUUAUGCUUGGUUUAUAUUUCAUAUCUUAUUCUUGCAUUUGUAAUAUGCCAUCUCAUAUGAACAGUUUUGCAAUACCUAUCCUUAUCCUUGAUAUGACCAUUUCUGAGGUAAAUGGUGGAAAAUCCUCUUCUUUGGAUUAGUCGUGGUAGUAAGUUUGUGGGUAUCUUCUCUGAAAAACCCUCAGGAGACUAUAACUCCUCCACUUGGAAAAUCCUCGUGGUUGAAAGCCUUGAUGCAUAUGGUCAAUGCAAUCACCUUAGUUUUACUUCUCUUUUGAGUCCUUAAUUCUUUUCUUCUCACCUUUGCUUGAGGACAAGCAAAGUGUUGUUUGGGGGUAUUUGAUAAGUCCUCAAAAGUGUAUAUUUAUCCCCCGAAUAACACCUUAUUUGUCUAGCACAUAGCUUAUAUUAUUGUGUUAAAUCUAUUGAUUAGUACUUUCUUGUCUUUUGUGUAGGUUUCAUGAGCCGAAAUGCGAAUAUUGUGUUAAAGCCCGCGAAAAGUAAACAAAAGCAACCAAAAAUGUGUUAUUUGCACUAAGGGAGGAGAAUUAAUAUUUGCACCCACAGAUCCGCUGAGGGAACCCCACGGUUAGUCCUGUUGACUUGACUUUAUGUCAAAGUGGGGCGGUCCGAAUCUCAGCCCAAACCGGGUUCUAUUGAAGCCCACAAGUCAGAAUUUCUGUUUAGGGCUUUAUUUAGAGUCCAAACAUAAAAAGGCUCUACAAGGAGAUUCAGAAGUUUGAUUUGGGCCCAUGAGCUAUCAAACUGAAGGUCUUGGUCCAAGCUACAACUUAAGCUCAAGAGAAUUAGGUUUUUCUGAAGACCUAAUACCUCUAGAAGACCAACAGCAGCAGCCACGAAUUUGACCUAAUUUGAAAGUCUUUGCAUGCAAGUAUUCUACUUUGUAAUUUCUAUAUAAGAGAAGUAGUAGCUAAGGUUUAGAUAGUUUUUAUAAAGAGAGAAAAGUGAAUAUUUGUGAGAGAAAGUUCAUCUUCUUCUUCUUUGUAUCAACUCAAUUCAAAUCAAUAUCAAUCCAUUAAUUUUCCAUUAUGAUGUCUUAUGAUUUAUUUAUUUAUUCCAUGGUGUCAUCAUCAAGAAUGAGUAGCUAAAUCUCCUUAGGGGAUGGUUGAAGCACUCUAGAUAAUGCGAAAGCACCAUGUUUGUUCUUAAUAUUCAUUGUGAUUCAAAGUACUUAAUGCUUAUUUACUUAUAUCCCGAAUAGGAGGUAAGUAUGAUUAUUUGUAUGUUAUUGUUAUCCAUGUUAUUAAAAUACUAUUGUUACGGUUUAGAGAGACCUAGCUUUAAUGGUUUUAUUUAUAUUGAUUAAAGAUGUGUUGUGAAUUAGCUGAGAAGUGAUUAUUACAUAUCUGCAGUUGAUAUCUUUUAUUGGAACCCUUUUGUAAUUAAGUCAAAUAGCUGAGAUGUGAUGAUUUAGUUAUGAAUUAAUAUGUUGAGUUAAUUAAAUUGAAUAGCUGAGAGGUGACAUUUUGAUUAAUAAGACAUAUUCAAUAGGAUGUAUAAGAGAAUCCCGUUUUAAUUGAGUGGAAUAGCUAAGAGGUGAUUACUUGAUUAUUAUAGGUAUUAAUAAUUAAUUGGAAUAGCUGAGAGGUGACUAAUUAAUUGUCCUAGAUUGAACAUGAAGGAACAACAUGUUAUGUUUACAUGAUUUAGUUUAUGGAUACCAAUUCUUCCCCCUUUGUUAUCAUAAAUCUUCUUUUCAUCUCUACCAUAUUCUUAAGUUAGUUUAUUUAAUUAUUGCCUGUAGGAAGUAUAAUCAAUGUCAAAUCUUGUUUAUUGAUUCCCUUGGUAUUUCUUAACAAUUGUUUUCUAUUGUGUUUGAGCUAAGAUCUCCCCUUUUGAGGUGGGUACGACCCUUGCUUGUUACUUGUCUACUUUCAUAACCAAUUUAUACAGGCACAAGAAGGAAAAUCUAAAAAAUCUAAUCUUUUGAUAGAGGUUAGAGAUUAACACUUUUUAGCCUCUAUCAGUAGGCGAUUGGAGCCAUUAGUUUGAACGUUUGUGAUGAUGUACGGUCCUUCCCAGUUAGCAUUAAGCUUUAUGAUGUUCACCUUUCUCUUGUUAUGGAACAUUCUUCUUAGUACGAGCUCUCUUGUUUAAAAAGCUCGAGGUCGUACUCCUUUGUUGUAAGCUCGUUUUAACCUUUGUUGGUAUUGCUCGAGCUUGAUGGUAGCAUGAUUUCUUCUUUCUUGAGCCAGGUCUAUCCCAAACGACCAAGCUUGAUUGUUAACUCAGUGUCGACCAGUAAUGAUUUGGUCAUGCCAAAAGUUAGCUUGGUUGGGAUGACAACUUCUACUCCAUAGAAAAGAUUAAAUAGAUACAUUCAUGUUGACGUUCUAGGAGUUGUUCUGUAGGCCCAAAAGAUGUUUUCUAGCUGUUGUGGCCAUUGGUCUUCUUGGUCAUUGAGCUUUUUCUUUUAGUUAGAAAGUAUUUGUCGGUUCGCAGCUUCGACCUGACCAUUACUCUAUGGGUAUCGAGGAGCGGACCUGGAGUGCUCGAUCUUCCAUAGCUCGUAGAAAGCUAUAAUGUUCUUUCCAACAAACUGAGUUCCAUUAUUAGUAACAACCCAUUUUGGCAAGUCAAAUCUGGUAAUGAUAUUUUCCCACAGGAAUCUUCUUACAUCUGCUUCAGUGACAUUGGUGAGAGCAAUAGCUUCCACCUAUUUGGUGAAAUAGUCAACUGUGACUAGAACAAAUCUCUUUUCGGACUUCUUUUCCUUAAUCACUAGGCCCAUGAUGUCAAGCCCCCAAAUGUGAAACGGCCAAGGAGCAGUGAUUUUGAUGAGGUCGUUAGGGUGCUAAUGAGUCGGCAAAACGUUGACACUCUUUGCACCUUAACACAAAUAUUUUUGCAUCUUCCUUCAUUCUUGGCGAAAAAUAACCUUGUGAGAUCGCUUUGUGAGCAAGUGUGCGACCUCCUGAAUGGUUUCCACAUUCCCCUUCAUGUAUUUCCUAAAAGACGAUUUGCCCAUGCUUGGGAAUUAAGCAUCUUAGGAGUAGACCAGUUACUGAUUUCCGGAAUCGCUUUCCUUCAUGUAACUUGUACAUAGUAACUUUAUGUAACAACUGGUUAGCUUCCUUCUUCAUUGUUGGGAGCUCGCCAGUUUGGAAGUAAUUGAUGAAGGGUUCCAUCCAAGUUCCCUUGAUGUCUUCUAAGGUCGUGUUGAGUAGGUCGUUAAUUUGGUUGACCUCUUCUUGCUUUUGUAAAUACGUAGAUAACGUGUUUACUGCUAUUGUUAGAGCUCGAGGUCGAUCUAAUUCGACCUUGGAUGCUAGGAAAGCGAGUGAAUCAGCAUGUCAGUUGUCAUAUCUUGGGAUGUGAUCGAUGGUGAAGAAACUGAACUUGCUGAUUAGUUUUUUUGCUUUGCUUGCAUAUCUUAUCAAAUUUACUCCAUGGAUUUAGUAGUUACUUAUGAUCUGAUUCACUACCAGUUGAGAAUCACUGAACACUUUGAGUCGAUCAGCUUGGAGGUCGAUGGCCAUUUGUAGACCUUGGAUUAGGGCUUCGUAUUCGGCCUCAUUGUUAAAGGCUGAGAAGUCCAAUCGAGUUGACCUCUCGUACUGUGAGCCCUCAUGUGAGAUGAGUACGGCACCAUUGCCAAUUCCAUUUGAGUUGUGUGAACCAUCAACGUACAACUACCAAGUGUUUGGUGGGUCGACUUGAAUUGGUCUGGUCUCUGGUUCUGGUUCCCAACUCAAAGGUAGUCUGCUAAGAAGUCAGCUACGACCUGGCCCUUAACGACCUGGCGAGGUACAAACUCAAAGGUAUAGUCACCAAGCUCAGGUGCCCAUCGAGCCAUACGACCUAUUUUGUUCUUCUUUUCUAGGAUGUGUUAUAGUGGUUGGUCGGUGAUUACUUUAACUGUGUGUGCUUGGAAAUAAGGUCUAAACUUGCAAGCAACAUAUAGAAGAGCUAAUGCUAGUUUUUCCAGAGGUGUGUACCUUAUUUCUGCUUGUUGCAACACCUUGCUUGUGAAGUAGAUUGGUCGUUCGACCUGGUUUUCCUCCUUGAAUAGUACCGCGUUGAUCGCAAAGUCUAAUAUGGCGAGGUAGAUUCCGAGCACAUCUCCAUCAUUAGGCUUAGUAAGAACUGGUGGAGUGGAUAAGUAUGCCUUUAGCUCGGCAAAGGCUUGCUCACAUUCUGCUGUCCAUUGAUAUGCAGCCCAUUUUCUGAGAAUAUGAAGCAUUGGUCGACAUUUAUCGGAUGCUCUAGAAAUAAAUCUAUUGAGAGCUGAUACCAUGCCGUUGAGUUUCUGAAUUUGUUUUUUUGUCUUCGGACUGGGCAUAUCGACUAGAGCUCUGAUCUGGUCAGGGUUUGCUUCAAUACCUCUUCUUGUGACUAAGUAACUGAGGUACUUCCCUGAUACGACCCCGAAUAGACAUUUCUCUGGAUUAAGCCUCAUCUUGAACUGUCAUAAUCUCUGAAAUGUCUGCUCGAGAUUGGCCAAGUGGUCUAGCUCGUGGUCGCUCUUGACCAAAAUGUCAUCGAUGUAGACUUGCAUUGUUCGACCUAGUACGUCGUCAAAUAUUUUGGUAACAAGUUGCUGGUAGGUCGCUCCUGGGUUUCUGAGAUCGAAAGGCAUCACUUUGUAGCAGAAGAUUCCUUGUUCAGUGGUGAAUGAUGUCUUGUCUUGAUCUGUCUUGUACAUUGGGAUUUGGUUGUAACCUGAAUAUGCAUCCAUGAAUGAUAGGAGUUCGAAACCACAAGUCUGAUCGACUAACCUAUCGAUUCGUGGGAGUGGGAAUGAAUCUUUAGGACAAGCUUUGUUUAAGCUUGUGAAGUCGAUACAAACUCUUGUCUUCUCAUUCUUUUUCAAGACUGGAACUAUGUUGGCCAACCAAUCUGGUGUGUCAAAUUCUUUGAUGAAUCCUACCUGUUUGAGUCUACUAAUUUCAUCAUUGACGGUCUGAUGAAAUUUGGGGCAAGUCGUCUUGGUUUUUGCUUGACAGGUCGAUAAUUGGGUUUUACUCGUAACUUAUGGUAUGCUAUUGAUGGAUCUAUCCCAGGCAUAUAAGUGUACGACCAAGCAAAGACAUCUUUAUUAAGAGAAAGAAAGUUUACAAAUUCAUUGUACUUAUCUGUUCCUAGCUCUGAGCCCACAUUAACAUACUUGGGGCCGUCCUCUGACCCUAAGUUAACUUGCACUCCUAGAUCUGUGCUUCCAAGUGAUAGUUGAGGAGAGCUCGCUUGCUCCUUCUUUAGUUGAUAUUUGGCCGCGUCUGUAGCAUCUGCUUUCCCCUUGGGAGGACUUUUUGUUGGAUUUGCGACCUCCUUGGUUCCUGAGGUCGUUGCCUUGUCAUUCGCCAUAGCUUCGAGGAUUCCAUGGCAUUCCUGUGCAGCGUUCUGGUUUCCUCCGAGCUCCACUAUCCCAUUAGGACCAUGAUAACGGAAUACCUGAUGAUAAGUGGAUGGAACUCAUCGCAUUGGAUGGAUCCAUUUACGAUCAAGUAUUGCAGUGUACUUACUUGCAAUGUUGAGGACAUUGAACUUGGCUGUGACUGAGUCUUUAUCUUCCUUCUUUCCCACAGAAACGGGCAGCAGUAUCUCGCCCUUGGGAUCCUCUCUCGAGCUGUUGAAUCCCAAGAUUGGAGUGAAGUCAGGAAUGAGGACUGAAUCAGGUAGCCUCAUAUCCUUAAAGGUCUUGUACAUCAAUAUGUUACAAGAUGCUCUUGGGUCGAUUAGGACCCUCUUGACGGUGUAAUCUGCAAUUUUUAAUUCAACGACCAGAGUGUUGUUGCGUGGAGUGACAACCUUGUUCAGGUCAUCUUUGGUGAAACUAAGAUCUGUUUCCUACCGAGCUGGAAUGCUAGUUCGAGCUGCUCGACCUGUGAUGGAGUAGACGUGGUGAAGGUGUUCUACUCGCCUCUUCUUUUAUCUUGAAACUGGUGUGGAACUGGACUCGUAGAUCACAUGACUCUCUGUCUCACUAUCUUCAUCUAUUUUGUUUGCGACUUGCUUGUUGAUUUGGUCGCGGAGGUCGCCGGUGGUACCUAAUCCUUUUGAGAGGAUUCGCCUUCUGUUGCGUGCUGGACUUAAAGAGGCAGUUCUUGCUUUGCUUUGAGAUCGUUUGGCAGAACGUGGAGGUAUUCUGGAUUCUUUCUAAUAUUUUUCACUGGAUUCUUCUUGUCUGUUGUAGAUCCAGUUAUUCAGAUUUUUCUCAUCAGCCAAUGUCUGAAGAGCUCGCUUCAGUAUGCGACAAUCAUCUGUCUGGUGGCACCUCACCUUGUGAACCUUGCAGUAUGGACGGCCGGACGUGUCCUCGAGUGCUGUGAAAUCUGGAAUCUUGCACCAGUGGUGAUGUUUGAUUCUCUCGAAAAUGUAUUCUGCAGGUCUUGUAAAUCGGUGAUAUUCGCGCUGCUCGGUGGGCAGUGCCUUAGCCCUGAAUCUCCUGUUCUUUUCUGAUCGUGGUCCUUUGGUGGAGCCCUCUUCUAAGUUUGCAAUAACAUGGCUUUUCACCCUUCCGACCAGAGUUUCUUCCAGUUUGAUAUAACGGUCUACCUUAAGAUAGAGCUCGUCUAGAGAGGUUGGCCUUUUCAUUGCCAAGUUCUUGUGGAGGUCGGAUCCAGGGAUCAGACCGUGGAAGAAUGCGAUGGUUGCAAAGGGUUCAUGAUCCUUUGCAAAAUCUUGAAUAAAGUGUAGUUCGAUUUUGAAUCGAGCGAAGAAAUCGCUCAGUAGUUACCCAUCUCUUUGCUUGACUUUAAGCAUUGCGUCGAUGGUGACUGGACGUUUUUUGUUAUGAAUAUAGAAAAUGACGAACUGUUUCUCCAGGUCGCUGAACGAGUUGAUUGAACCUGGCUUGAAACGGUGGAACCAAUCGAGAGCUGGACCGGUGAGGCUGGAUUGAAACAAUAGGCACAACAGAUGAUCUUCUUUGAUAAGAGGUAAUGAUUUGCGGAAACCCUUGAUGUGGUCUGUUGGAUCUCCAGCGCCUGAGUAUUGAUCGAACUUUGGAGCAUUGAGUUUGUUUAGCAAGUCUUGCUCUAAGAUCUCCUUGGUGAAUGGAGAUUCUUGGAAAUACUGCAAAGAUUGGACAGCGAGUUGCUCGGCUGUGCGACCUUUGCUCAAUUGGAUUGCGGCCUGAGAGGCUUUGAAUUCAGCGAGCUUUUGGCUGAGUUCUUCAUACUUGCGGUUGCUGUCAUUUGUAAUGACUGCUCCCUGUUCAGUGUUUGUAUCCGCAUCGCUUGCAGCUUUUAACUGAGCGUUUUCUUCCUGGAGACCUAAUUGGUCUCUCAGUUCCUGAAUGAUCUCUUCUUGUGUAGUCAUUUGAUGGAUAGAAAGGUGAAUGUGACUUUGAGUUGGGUGGGAGGGCUGGUUUUUCGAUAUAAUCGAAUCCUUACAGUCGGCACCAAAUGUAUUAACCUGUUUCCAGAUUAAUGCAUUAACUAGGUCAGGUCGCUGUUUGACUCACCAAGGUGGGAGUUUAAGAUCGGGGGUGGCUGCACCUUGGUGAGAUCGAGAUUGCCUACGUACUCUAGCUCGAGGGAGUGGAACUUAGAGAUCUGUUCUUAUAGAAGGUGAAAGGGCGCAGAUCAUGGGAUCGUGCGGAUUCUCCGACAUCUUAAUGAAUGCGUAACGUCUGGCAUUAAUUAUAUAACAGACCAGGAUAUUCUCUAAGCAUUGAUGAAGGGGCACGUGCGAAUAAAGAGGUCGCCAACGGUCAUAAGCUCGAGCUGUUCUAGUCGGAGUGAGUUAUGUCGUGGUGUGGGCGACCUGGUGGAUUGUUGAGCACGCCACGUGUCGUGUUUUGAUUGGCUGUUGUAUGUAGUACCCCUACAGAAAUGCAACGUGAAGUGGUCAAAAUGAGAAGGCAAGCACAAGAAAAUGAAGAGCAAAGACCAACAAGAGUUUGGUCAAAUGAAGAGAAUCUUUGAGGAACAAAUAGAAGAAAUGCAGAGAAAAUUUGAUGAACAAUCCAAGACAAUCACAACACCAUUUUAAGAAAUUGGUAAGUUCCUAAUAUUUGAGUUCGUAACAUUUAUAAACGUGUCGAAGUCCUGAUGUUUAUAUAUGUUACAAUUAUUACAUUAAUGUUACUAAAUAUUAAAAAUCAAUUUCAAUUAAUAGGAAACACUUGCCAAUAUUAUUCUAAAUUUCUAACAGAUCUAAACGUGAUUAAAGUCAUAAAAGAAUCUCCAAACAAAUAAAAGAAUGCUCUCAUGUGUUCGCACGAGGGGGAACCAUAAGUGUUUCAAGCGGUAUUACGUAUCCUAAUUUUUUUUUUUAGGCUCCGGAUUUUGCCAAGGGAAAAAUUGAUUAUGCCAAUGAUUAUUUGAUAACUUUACUAAUUUGCCCUUAAUUACUUUUCAUGAAAUAUAACACAACUGGUACAAAAUACAUAUAAAAUUAUAAUGACAGAUUUGCCCAUUGCCCAAAAAUAGGAAAAAUCUAUUAAUUCAUUAUUUCCCGCUAAAAACUAGGAAUCUCUCCCUCCAUAUGGUUUCAUCUUCCCAUACCUUACUAUUCUAUUUUCACCUUUCUUAGUUUCAUACACAAUCUCACAACCUAGAUCCAAAAUUCAUGACAAUUUUUAUACAUCAAUAAAGUCAACUCGGAGUAAGACUUUUUAAUAAUUGAUUUUAAUUAUUUUUGAUUGCAAACUUCGUUUAAAUUUCUUAUUAUUGCUUAAGAUUCUUAGUUAAUCAAUGUCAUAUAAGUAGUUAUAAUUACAUAUCUUUGUGAUGAACGGGAGAAAUCGACAGUAAUACCUGUCUACAAUUGUUGAAAUAGUUCUAUUCAAUAUUGAGUUCAUUGAGAAACCAGAGAAGUUUGGUCUCUUUUAUAUUGAUGGACUAAUUAAAUUCCUUUAUUUGGUACUGUACACAUUGCUAAACAUUUGACGCAAGGAAAAAACAAGGGCAACAUUUCUUAUUAAAUUUUUUAUUAUUAUUGUUGCUAUUAGUAAGAUUAUAUAAACCAGUUAUUUUAUUUUGAAUGCAGGGCUUAAACACUUCUUACAAGUAUUAUGGAUGCACAACAAGUGAAUCAUACUGUAAACGAUAAUGAACAUUAUGAGGCUACAAGUGUAGUUUCAGUAAACAAUGAAGAAAGUGAAAAUGAAGAAGUUUUUGAAGAUGGAAAAAUGCUUCCACCACCAGUGAGAACUUUUAAUAGCCGAGAAGGGCUACUUGAAUAUGUCCACGACUUUUCUUUAUCACAAGGAUAUGCUACAACUAUAAGAGAUUCUGAAAAGGAUAAAUAUGUUACAAUUGGUUGUGACGGAGGAGGUACCUAUAGAUAGAAGUAAUACAUCGAUUGAAGAACGGAAAAAGAAAAGUGGUUCUCGACUUAUUAAUUGUCCGUUUAGAAUUAAAGGUGUCAAACUAGUCGAUGGUUCAUGGAUAAUCAGAAUAAGCAAUGGAACUCAUAACCAUGAAGCAUCAAAAGACGUGUCUGGGCAUCCUUCUUUCCGUCGAUUUUCUAACGAAGAGUUAUUGAGGAUCAAAGAAAUGUGAAUGUCAGGCAUACCACAACGCCGGAUUCUUACUUCGCUUCGCCAGGCUAAUCCAAAGCUUAAAGCCAUAUCAAGGACAGUUUACAACACAAAAGCCAAGAUUCAUAAGGAAAAGCUACGAGGUCGAACACCUAUUCAAGCUUUACUUGAGGAACUCUCUAGUGGAGGAAUUUUACACAAUAUUAAAGUUGAUACAGAAGGCAGGCUUACUCAUUUGUUCUUUGCUCAUCCCCAAUCAAUCAAAUUAAGCAAGAGCUACCCAAAUAUCUUUGUGAUGGAUUGCACUUACAAAACCAACAAGUUCAAGAUGCCAUUACUUGAUAUUAUUGGAGUUUCAAGCUUUAAUACUUCUUUUUACUCGUGUUUUGCAUUCUUAUCAAAAGAGGAAACAAGUCACUAUGCUUGGGCUCUAAGUAUGUUCAAGGAAAUGUUAGGCAGCGAUGGGUUAUUGUAUCUGAUCGAGAAUUUGCUCUCAUGAAUGCCAUUGAGGUAAUUUUUCCAAGGACUAUAAACCUCUUAUGUUUUUGGCAUAGUGAAACAAAUAUUAUAGCAAAUUGUAAAAAGUUUUUCAAAGAAGACAAGGAAAAAAAAGAAAACGAUUGGGAUACAUUUAUGACUGGGUGGACUGAUCUGGUGCAAUCAGAUUCUGUGUCGUCAUUUAAUUCAGCAUGGAAAGAAUUUGAAGUGACUUAUAAGGAGAAAGUUAAUGUGGUUGAUUACAUGAAAAAGGAUUUGGCUACCGCUCAAACAACAUUUUGUAAAGGCAUGGACAGACAUUCACUUGUACUUAGAAAAUCGAGUUACUUCGAGGGCAGAAGGUGCACAUGCAGUCCUUAAAAAAUAUUUGCAAUUUUCUACUAGUGAUCUCCAUGUGGCGAAAGAAAAGAUAUGUCUUGCAGUUGAAAAUAAUUUUCUAGAAAUCAAGACAAAACUUGCAAGUGAAAAGCUCACACUUCGUCAUAACAUAUGUGUUCCAUUUUUCAAAGAAGUUGUCUAUUGUAUAUCAGCAUUUGCCAUGGAGAAGCUAUUUGAACAAAAUAAAUUAGCUUUAUCUGAUUCAAGCUUGCACGCAUGUAAACGCCAGUUUGUUGCGACGAUGGGUCUUCCUUGUGCAGAUAUGAUGAGAUGUAUGAAAGAUAGAGUAUUAUGGCUUUCUGAUAUACACCCACAAUGGAGAAUUGAUAAACGGUCAUUUGAAGAUGAUGACAUUGUCAUUGAUCCAGGCAAUACAAUAGAUUCACUCACAGGUUUACUUCAAGAACUAGGAAAGAAUUAUCACCAGUGGCCUAUAGCUCAGAAGAUAAUUGCUCAAGAACGUCUAUCUCAACUUAUAGAUUAUUUUGUGCCUAUUGUGUUUGAUCCUCCUAUUCAUUCCCAUAAAGGGCGUCUAGCAAAUUCGAAGACUGAGAAAGUGUCCAGUUCCACUAGAAGGGAUCCGUCAGCAUUUGAGAUAGUUGAAAAGUCGAGAAAGUGCAGUAAUUGUCAUGAAGUUAGUCACAAUAGUCGAACUUGUAAACGUGUUAAUGUGACUCAAGAAUCUGCUGUUAUUGAGCUAAAUCUAGCUGAAAAGAACACUUUAGAUGGGAUGAAUUGGAACUCCAUGCCUAUGGACACAUUGGGUAAAUAUAUUUCUAUUGUUUGAUGCCAAUUUUAUAUUAAUUGUUUUUACUUACGUAGUUCAUAUAAUCUACCUAGUUUAUAGCAUUUGUCAUAAUGUCUAUCAAUAUUAUUUUUAUUCACAGGUCUAGAAGAAUGAAUUAGGAAGAGACAUGAUACAGUACCUAAAAGCUUUGCAAGGAUUGUGGUAAGUUUGAACUUAUAACAACUUUACUAAAAUCCUUAUAGCAUGCACUUUUAUUUUUCAACAAAAUGUAAAAAUGAUAUUGAUCAUGAAACCAAGUAUAAAUAGUCUGACCAACCUGCAUUUUCAUGCAUUAUGCAUCGUCAGGUUACCCCAAAGGACAACACAUCUUUUACACAACAACCUAACACCCCAACUAAUUACUUUACAGUACAUGUAACAGAUACAAGAAAAACAGAAAUACAAAGUAACCUAUAGUCUGGUUCAGCAACAACUCCAUCUUGCCCUUCACAGUAGCAUCCUUAAGUACAGUCCUUCCUUAGCCCAUCCCUGCCCUGCAACGUCAUUGUCCUGCAACAGUAGGAUACAUAUGCCUUAGAGUCGACGUAUGUAUUUAUUAUAACUUACACACAUAUUUUCUCUACAGGGUACUUUUGAGGAUUAGGAGAAAAUAAUAAUUUGAUGAAUAAGGGCGGAUGCAUGGGAAGAAUGUUUGGUUUUUCAUUUGGUUGUCUUCGUAGGAGAAAAUAAUUUUAUCGAUGUCGAUCAAGUAGGAGUUACAAGCUUUUAAAUUUCUUUUGUAAAUUUUAAUGAUUUCAUUAUUUUGAGGUACUUUGCCCAUUACUUAAUGGCUUCAGACCUUCAGUUGAUGUUAGUUGUUCAAUUUGGUUGAAGUAUCUCUUUUAUUAAUUCAAUUUUUCUGAGAAUAAAUUUAAAUCAACCAUGGCUGAAGUUCAACAUCCACAACGUAACAUAGUCAUAAUGGACAACAAAGUCCAACUGAUGCUAUCAAGAGUAUGUUACCUAAUAGAGGCCUAACAGCUUCUCAAGACAUUGUAGUGAUCACACAUUCACACUAAUUCCUUUGGGUGGUCUUCUUCUUACUCUUGCUGGUCUUACUUGCUACAGUUGUUGGUCUAGCUACGACCACACCACUUAUCAUCCUUUGUAGCCCAGUGUUAGUGCCUGCUGCACUCACAACUGGUCUUGCAGUCAUUGCGUUUCGGGUGGACUGAUAUUUCGAUGAGUCAGACCUAUAAGAUUUUUUCAAACUAAUAUCUUCUUUUGUUAAGAAUUAAUAGAUUUUUCCUAUUUUUGGGCAAUGGGCAAAUCUAUCAUUAUAAUUUUAUUUGUAUUUUGUGCUAGCUGUGUUAUAUUUCAUGAAAAGUAAUUAAGGGCAAAUUAGUAAAGUUAAGAAAUAAUCAUUGGCAUAAUCAAUUUUUCCCUUGGCAAAAUCCGAAGCCUUUUUUUAUUAUUCUUUCCAAACUUCUAAGAUGUCUCUGAAGAACCCAAAGAGCAAUCCCAAUAAGAGGGCAGUUUGGUGCCCUCCACAUAGGUGCCACAUAAGCAAAACCACCUUAAAAAUCACUUUCUCUCCAUGGUAGUCAAAACCCCCUGCGAAGUGGUGCCAAUGGGAAAAUUUGGAAAUGUCAGUUUACAAAACUUUUAAUGGCUUAUAAGACGGAACUUUGAGUUCUGCUUACCAAAUUUUGUAAGUGUUAUAAGACGGAACUUCGAGUUCCUGAAAAGUUAGUCUAUAAGACGGAACUUCAAGUUCCAUAUACGAUAUAAAGUGUAUAAGACGAAACUGUGUGUUCCGAAAAAGUAUUAAACCGGAACAUGGUGUUCCGUCUUAUGCAAUUAACAUAUAAAGUGUAUAAGACGGAACUGUGUGUUCUGAAAAAAUGUUAAACCAAAACACGGUGUUCCGUCUUAUACAAUUAACAUGACAUUUUGAAUGGCACUCUACUCCCCUCUCAAAUGCCAUUGGAACUUCUAUCCACCGUUGAAUAUUUGACCCACCGUUCUAUCCGUUGGCGAAGGAAUUUUAGCGGAGAGUGCAUUUCAUACUACCGCCCUUCUCAAAUGCCUUCCCAUUGGGAUUGCAGGGAAAAAAAAAACGGACCCAAUUAAGGUGUGGAAAUAUAAGAUUGAACCAGUUAGGGAACUAAUAGUAAAAUAGGCCCAACCGCUGAUUUUCGUGUCUUAUGGACUAGUUUACCCUUCGACUGAUGCAAAGACUUGUUUGCAUAUCAUAAACAUAUAAACAUACUUAUUAAUAUCAGUCACAAUACAAAUAUAAAAUGCAAAGACUUGUUUGCAUACUUGCAAACAACAACAUAAACCAUAAAAUGUAAAUGCAAAGAAUUGUUUGCAUACUCGAAACGACGACAAGAUAAACUAGAAAAUAUAAAGACUUGUUUGCAUCAGUGACAACACAUAAAGAUUAAAUGCAAAAACUUGUUUGCAUACUCGAAACAAUGACAUACCAUAAAAUGCAAACAUUUGUUUGCAUAAACCAGAAGGGUAUUAUCGGUAGUGAAAGGGCCGUUUUUACAAUAUCAACGUUAAAUGGGUCUUUUCUUAUUUUACAAAUGCUUAAUGAGGGCCAAUUUUACAAACCGGGUCUUAGUUGGGCCAAUUGUGUUUUAUAGGUGCUUAAUGAGGGCCUAGAGCCAUUUCCAUGUUGGGAUUGCUCUAAGUGGCUCUAUCCUCAAGCUUUCUUCAUCUAAUUUAUCUCUCAUCUACAAAGAUUUCCUCAUCGUCGUUGUAUCUCUUGGCUUCUCAAUUUUUCUGGUGAGUGUUUUAGAACAGAACAUAGCUUUAGAAACUUUAGAAAAUUCAGUAUAUUAUUCUUAUAAGAAGUUGUGGAUCGAAUUGAGACCUUAAUUUUUCUUAACGAUUCAAUACAGUUUGGGUGGUUUGAUUUGGAAAUCGAAACCACUUUGGUAUUUGCUCAUCAAAGUCUUAAUACAAGGUGGUGGACGCUCAAUUUUCUGGUGGAAGGUUGUGCGAUUUUUCAAUCAGGUAAUUGGGAAGUUUCAAUUUCACAAUUUUUAUUGAGAACUUUUGAUUUUGCUUUGAAAGUCUUAACACUAAGACUGAUCAUAUUUUCUGCAACACCUUUGCCAUGAUAUAUUGUUAUUGCUUGAUUUCUUCUACUAUGAUUUGAAACCUGUACUUAAGUAUUUACAAUUGUGUUUGAGAGAUGGUAAAAUUUUGUUUUGAAUCUAGAAUUCUAGAGAUUAUAUCUCUAUCAUAGAAAUGACAAAUCAACUUCAAGAAAAAAAAACACAAGAAUGUAUUUGUGAUAUUGUACUUUCAACUGGUCACCUAGAUUAACUACCCUUUCACUCUUCUAUACUAAACCCUGACUACGAAAUACCACUUUACCAGUCUAUUUUUCUGUAAAGAUUUCAAUAAUCAUGGCUAUAUGGAAGAUUUGAAUUUACACAACUCCAACAAUUAAUAGUGGUUGAAGAUGAAGUUGUCAGUAAGGAGACUAGGCUAAUUUUUUCUUCUUGUCUUGCUAGAAAUUAAGAGUCAACUUAUUAGGGUUUUUUUUUCUGCCUUUACAAGUUUACAGAUUGUUUCAUUCAUAGGAGGGCAAAAGAAAGUAGUACAAAAUUCUCUGCCCACACCAACAGCUACCAGAUAAUCAGCAACUCUGUUGGCUUCUCUAUAGGUGUGGGCAAUAAAAACACUAACAAAUCUAUUACAAACAUUAAGGGUAGCUCUGAGUAAGUUUAAACAAUACCAAGGAGGAGUCUCUCUCUUCGGCAAACAGUUGACAGUUCUUAGUGAGUCUAUUGCCACAUUACCUUCUUGUUUCCAUCUGGUAGGCUAAUUCUAGUCCCUCCUUUACAGCACUGAGUUCUUGCCAGAUAACAGAGUUGACUGGACUUGCACCCAUGAAAGCACUAAUCACCUGGCCUUCAUGAUUCCUUAGAAUACCUCCAAUACCCGCGCCCUUAUCAUUCACAACACCACCUAUAUUGAUCAUUACUGUAUCAAUCUCUGGUCCCUUCCAUUUGAACAUCUCGACAAUUCCGUCCUUCAAAAUAGCGGUAAUAUUAGGUCUGUCAAGUAGGGCUUUAGUGGCAAAGCUAUCUGCAUUUCUAUUUGUCUUGGAGAAGGCAGGGCAUGAUAAUACGUCAGGUUAGUUAUUCUGAGUUUGGAGUUUGUUAGAAAAAGUUUUUUUUUUUUUGCAUAUGUUUUAACUUAAUUCUUUGGUUGUCACUAAGAAGACUUAAGGUUAUGAUGAAAAGAUUUUUGUUAUGUAAUCUAAGUUCUUUACAUUUUAUUUUGUUUUUAGUUACAGAUAAUCGAAAUCAUCUUGACUAUUUGAAUUUUUGUGGUACAAUGAUUUCUUAGUGCAAGGAUUUGGUUUCAAAUUGUGGCAGUGCAGAUUUUUCAAGUGUGGAUCUACCUAGUUCCAGAUUAUGUGCUGAUUCUUAGUAAGAGAAGUGAUUUUUUUUCUUGUGUCUAUAUACUUUAAGAAGAACUGAUAUUGUUUGGGACCCCUUAAUGGUACAAUACCACAUUUACAACUGCUCUGGUAUUCUGCCUCUCAUGCACACAGUUUUUUUUUUUUUUUUGGUACAAUCAUGCACACAAUUAUCUACACCCAGUGUUACAUCCCUCGCUUUAAUAAAAAGGCUUGACUUAUGUAUUGUGUAGUGGGAGUUGUCUUUAUCCUGCACUUUUUCUAUUAGGUGUACUCAUGUUGAUUGUUUUUCUGGUUAAUGAGGUUGCUAUGAGUAAUUACAUUAAUUGGGCAUAUAAAAUUGAAGUUUCUUAAAUUUGUUUCAUUCAUUUGUUUUUCUUGUGGAAUAUAUUUCUUAAGCUUUUCUGUUUCACAAUGUUUCACAAGACGAAUUCGGAGCAUAGCUUAAGGAACUAGGAGUUGAGUUUGUGGAACUUCUUCAGACUACAACUAUUGCCACAACAUCAUCAAAGCAUGUUCUAUUCUGCUGAAUGUAGACUAGAAAAGCAUCUGGAUUGACAUGAUAUUGUGGCAGAAUGUAGACUGGAAAAGCAUGCAUUCUGGAAAGAUAUUGCAGGAAAAUGUAGACUAGGUACAGGGGAUGCAACUGAGGGUGAACUGGCAAGUCACUGGAGAUUGACAAGUAGCAUUUGGACUAGAAGAAUACUAGAGUUUACGUACUGUAAGUGUUUUUACUAUGUUUCUUUGUAUGGGGGAAGGAUAACUAUUGUAUUAAGUGGAAAUGUUCUUCGAGUUCUAACCUGACGGAACAGUUGUCUGCAUACUGAUCAGGAGUGUAAGUUUUGUUUUACAACCUUUUAGUUGAGUUAAUGGGAUGAAUGCCGUAACGUUGUAACAAUUAUAUCUAAUAUAUACUUGAGUUAAUGUGAUGAAUGUCAGAUGCCUUGAUUUGUCGUGUGAAUGAAUAUAUGGUUACUAGUAAUACCCGUGGCGCUGCCACGUUCGCCAA